rnacentral:lncRNA from 1 species
UUUUAUUAAAAGUGUAUCUUUGAGUUUUCUUCCCAAUGCAAUUUGAAUCACUUCAAUCGGAGAUCAGGAGAAAAAGUUAUGACCAAAAUGCUAAAAGCAGUCCGACGAAAAAAAUCGCAUCUGUCGCAUAGUAUAAAUUCUAUGCAGUCGCAUAGAAGCCUCCCGAGAAUUUUUUCUCAAAUUUUUUUUUACUCUAUGCGACAGCAUAGAAAUUUACUAUGCAGUCGCAUAGAACAAUUUCGGGCAGAUUCUACAGUUUCCUUAUACGACUAAAACUCUUUUGGUAACCUAAUUUCCACGCGAUAUAAAUACCAAAAGAUGUCCAGAAAGAGGAAAACGUAUUGAAAGGGGGAAUAUACACAAUUUUGGAGGAUUUGGAGAGGAAGAAUAAGGCAAAAACAAGACAAUCCACUUCAAGAUUCAAAAUUUCACUUCAAGAAUCAAUUGAGUGAUGUUCUUCCUUGGUUUUAAUUAUUGUUUUUCUUUAUUUCCCAUUAUGUUAAACUAGCUUUUCAUGUGCUAGUAUUUGCGAUGAGCCUUAUAUUAUGAUAAUCUUGAAUUUUAUUAAUUUGACGUUAAAACAUGUUUUUAAUUAUUGACUGAUUGACAUGGAUUUUAUUUUCUCUACAAUUAUGUGAGCAAUAGUUGUAUGAGCUUUGUGACUUGUUUUACCCUCGAGAGAUGAAAAAUAAGUUAGACAUUAUGUUAAUUGUCGUAAAGUUCAAUAGGGGAUAGAAAUAUACCGCUAUGCUUUACGUGAUCUUUAAGUAUUCAUAAAUUUUUAAUGUAUUUUUAUAUGUUCGCAUCCGUCAUAGAAAUAUAAUGAGAUCGCAUGUGAAAAUAGGUUUAAUUCUACUCGAAAGAGAUUGUUAAACAAAUUAGGAAUAUUGGUCUUCAUAAUUGAAUCGUGUUGUCAAUUUUAUAAAAUUCGGAUUAAAGGGGAUUGACAUAAGGGGAUUCGGGAUCCUAGUAUGCAUUUCGUUAUCACAUUUUUAUAAAACUUGCAUUUAGUUUUUAUCACGCAUUUAAUCUAGUUAAUUUAGGCUUUGUAUUUAUAAGUAGGUUAUUAAAUCAUAAUUUAGUUAACGAAAAAUAUCAAGAAUUUCUAUUGUUUUGGUUAAGACAACGAUAGGUAAAAUUGAACUAAUCAAUCUCUGUGGGAUGAUAUUCGGACUCAUUUAAUCCACUUUAUUAUUUGUUAACGAACUGUACACUUGUGGUAGUUUAAAAUCGAAAGAAAUAAUCUCGCGAACAAGUUUUUAGCGCCGUUGCCGGGGAUUGAGUUUAGUUUAAUUUUAUUUCUCGAGACACUAAUUCGAACUUCAAUUUUUAUUUUGCUAGUAUAAUUUUGUUUUUAUUUUUUACUUUAGGUUAUUAUUCUUUAUUUGAGUUUUAGUUAUUUAAAUUGUUUGAAUCUCAGUGCUCGUACUGGUUUUAUUUCUCAGAUUUGCAUGCCACGAUCGACUGGAGGAGAAUUGAUUCCAGCUGAUCCUGAAAUCGAGCGCACCUUUCAUCGACUACAAAGAGAUCACCGAGAAGCACAAGUACAAAUGGCUAACGAACUAAACAAUCCCAUUAUUCAAGCUAAUGAAGGAGAGGCAAUGGACGAAGGAAAUGAGAUUCUGGGAGACUUCUUGACUCCUCAAGUAGUCCAAAGUUAAUCUAGCAUUGUGUAUCCUCCAUUUGGGCUACCGAACUUCCAGCUGAAAACAAAUGUGAUCCAACUAUUUCAGAAUGGGCAUCAAUACCAUGGGAUGGCUAGUGAGAACCCACAUACACACAUAUCUCGAUUUCUGGAUAUGUGCCAACACUUUAGGUACUAGGGUAUCUCGGACGAUGCUAUAAGACUGCGGUUGUUUCCACACACCUAGCGGGAUAAGGCAAUUGAAUGGCUGGAUUCGCUUCCCGUCGCAAGUAUCACCACUUGGAACGAGCUAGCCCACGAAUUCUAAACCAAGUUCUUCUCGCCAGCUAAGGUAGCCAAAAUGCGGCAUGAUAUCUCUUUAUUCAACCAAUGUGCGUCCGAAUCAUUUGAAGAGGCAUGGAAUCGUUUCAAAAAUAUGUUAAGGAAGUGUCAUCAACAUGGUUUUGACAAGAAGACACAGAUUCGAUUUUUCUACACUGGACUACUUUCAUCCUUCAAGAGCAUGGUGGAUUCAUCAUCUGACGAGUCUAUCUCCACAAGAACAAUUGACGGAGCAUGGGAGCUAUUUGAGAGAAUGGCUACAGCUUCAGCCAUGUGGUCUAUAGAUCGAGUGGUUCAGAAGAGAACGCUGGGGGUUUAUGAAAUAGAUACUUAUUCAGCACUGUUUGCAAAGAUAGACUCUUUGUUCCAUAAGGUUGAGAGCAUUUCACAGACCGCCACUACUAAACAAGUCAAGAAGCCAAGCUGUGAAGAAUGUAGAGCAAACCACAACACUGUUAAUUGUCCAAUUCUCGCACAGGGAGUCGAACAUGUAGAUUUUGUGCAAUGGGGUCAACGCCAACAGAACAACCCACAUUCGGAAACCUUCAAUCGGGGUUGGAGAAAACACUCAAACUUCUCGUGGAGUAAUCAGAAUCAAAACAGACCACAAGGUCAAUAUCAGCAGCACGAUAAAAAGCCACCAUUGGAAGAGAUGUUCGAGAAAUUCAUGGCAACAACCAAUUAGUAUAUGGCAGCAAACAACCAGUUUAUGCGAAAGAUAGAUGCAACUCUUCAAGACCAAAGUGCAGCAAUAAAAAAUUUGGAGAUACAAAUGGGAUAGAUGGCAAUCUCCAUGACAGGAAGAGCACCAAGAAACUUACCCAUCAACACUGAAAUCAACCCUAAGGAGCAAGCCAAGGCUAUUACAACUCGAAGUGGAGUACAAUUACCUAAAAUCCAUGUCAAGAGAUCAGGUGUGAUUGGAGAGACAUUUUCCCUUGCUGAAGACGAAACUGUUGUAAAGGAAUCAACGUCAAAGGAAAAUUUAGAAAAGCCACGGGAUAAGGUCAAAGUCACAAUCAAUCCAUAUGAGCCUCCGAUUCCCUUUCCACAGCAGUUGAAGAAGCAAAAAUUGGAGCAACAGUAUAAAAAAUUCCUAGAAGUCUUCAAAAAGCUCCAUAUCAACAUCCCACUAGCCGAUGCACUAUUCCAGAUGCCUAGCUACGCGAAGUUUCUCAAAGAUAUUAUAUCAAACAAACAUAAACUGGAGGACCAUGAGACUGUAAUGCUUACGGAGGAAUGUAGUGCCAGAAUUCAAAAAAAGCUCCCUCCAAAAUUGAAAGAUCCAGGGAGUUUCACUGUCCCUUGCACAAUUGGUGAUUUUUAUUUUGAUAAAGCAUUGUGUGAUUUCGGUGUGAGUAUUAACUUGAUGCCACUCUCUAUUUUCAGGAAACUAGGAUUGGGAGAGUCUAAGGCAACCACAGUAACUCUAAAGCUAGCUGAUCGAUCACUUACACAUCCACGAGGGAUUAUUGUAGAUGUAUUGGUUAAAGUGGAUAAACUCAUAUUCCCAGUAGACUUCUUGAUUUUGGAUAUGGAAGAAGACGAACAUUCCUAUCAUAUUGGGACCACCAUUUUUGGCUACAGCAAGAGCCCUCAUAGAUGUGAAAGAACCUGAAAGCUGUUUCCAGAUUGAAGUGCUUGACAUAGGAAUCCCCUAUAAUUUUGAGUUGAAGAAACAACCAAACAUUCAUGAGGCCUGUAUAGUAUACUCUCCAUCCAUUCUUAUCAAUUCAAAGGAGAUUAAGGCAUUCAAUAUGGGAUUUCAUACGGAUGAGGAGAGAAUGUCAAAUCACUUGGAGAAAGACAGGGAUGAAAUUCGGAGGAUAACUGCAGUGCGGAACAAGACCAUAAUGAGCAAACUAUGCAGGACCUCCCAAGCCAUAUUUAAAGUGCCAUAAAAUACUUGUGCCAAAAUUCGACCUAUCGACUAUAAAAUAAUGCUGAUUGGGAGGCAACCCAACGUCUCUAUACUUUAUUUAUUUCAUUUUGCAUUAGUCUAGGAGUUUUUCAAUUUUUCAACAUUUUUAUUAGUUUAGGUCAUCAUUCAUCCAUGCAUGUCAAUAAAUAGCCUAAACACAAUCCACACGAGUCCCAAUCCAUUGAGUAAGAGUCAUAAGGUUGAGUCCUGUUUUAGUCAGUCAUGGGUCAAAUUGAACAAAGUGCAUGAUUAUAGCUAAACUUUGUUGGUGAUUCACAUUUUUGUGAUAUGAACUUUAUAUUUAGAUAUAAUUUAUACAUCUUACACGCCAACAGUGUACACAUGCACCUUAAAAUAAGUUUGGGGGAAUGGUGCAUCACAUGGAUUUUUUCAUGCACACCCAAGUUUAUCAAUUAUCACCAUAAGAUAUAAUACACAUACUUUGCACUUUCGUAGGAUGUUGCCAAAAAGACCUCAACAGGAAAAGAGAAGGUCGGCUCCACAUAUGAUGCUGUAGGAUCCAACAUUCCAUCACAGCCACCAUUUUGAUCAGGGGAGUAUCGUUUACUCCAUUUUGAUUUUUCUUCUUCAUUUUGUCCUUAAAAUUAUGUCUUUAAUUUUUUGUUAAUCUUACAUUGAGGACAAUGUAUUAACUAAGUUUGGGGAGGGUGACAUAAUUUUAAAUCUUUAUUUGUAUUCAUCAUUAUCUGUUUUUCAUUACUGCAUAAUGUAUGCAUGAUGAGUGUCAAAAAAAAUUCUUUGCAUUUUGUUCAGUUUGUUUUAAUUCUCUUCAUGCAUGCUUGUGUGGACUUGAUAACCUUGCUAACUAUGAUGUUAUUAUUGGACUAGUUUAAACUGCAAAAUUUUGGAUAUGGUGUUAAUUAGACUAACGGAUACUUGUUGAUGCAACACUUGACAUUAUCUAUGCACGAUAUUCAUGCUUGACAUGUUAGGUGAAUGACUGGAUUUUGAGCAUAAAGUAGGAAAAGAAUGAUAACCCUCUAUUGAAUUAACCCAUAAACUAUUUUAAGACAGUUUGGUGAUGACUGAACUAUUAUAGGGGAGCAUUGAGAUGAGCUGGGGCUCCGUGCAUGAAGUUUUAUUGUAUGGAUUGCCUAGACUAGUGAGGUGAAGAUUAGGUGAAAAUCUUAAAUUAAGGGUUGGUUUUGGAAACAAAAUGUCUAGAACAAUAAGGGCAUAAAAUUAAUUUGUGAGAAUAAGAUACUUCUUAUCAUACCUUUAUGACUCAAGCAAGUAAGCCUGUAAGGAUAUUUCAAAAUCUGAUGCCCUAAGGUCAACUGGCCUGGGAGUCACCCGCCUAAAACUCGCUAAAGGGGUCAUAUAGAAAGCAAGAGGGAAAGAAGUUAAUAAAAAUUCAUCUGAUCGAGCCUUUAUAACUCGAGUAAAUAAGCCUGCAAGGGUUUAAAAUCUGGUGCCCUAAAGCCAACUGGUUUGGGAGUCAUCGGCCUAAAGCUCGUUAGAGGGAUUAUAUAGAAAGCAAAUGAGAAGAUGAUAUUAAAUAAUAAUAAUAAUAAUAAUAAUAAUAAUAAAAUAAAAUUUAGAAAGUGAGAAAAACAAAAGAGAGACAAUAACAUGAAGAAAAGCCCUUAGACAUUUGGUUGAGGAAACUAUACCUUUGAGGCAAGGCAAGUAACCUAUUUUAAUCUUGAGUGUCGAAGCAAUCAAAUUUAGGAGAGCCUUCACUUGUUGAAAUGUAAACUUGUGAUAGUGAGAUUAAUCCAAACUACGAGAGGGUGAGGACUACGGCUAUGUAAACUCCUAAUUUUAAAACACAACCCUGGGAUAAUUGAGUGAAAAUAAUAAGUUUGGGGGAUUGUGCAUCUCUCGAGCGAGCAAGGAUACAUUUGACCACUUGGGGUCGAGAUUCAAACUUAUCAUGAACCUAAUAUGUUGGCAUGAAUUCACACACACACGUCAAGUACGCAUUUAACAGGUAAAGGUUGAUGUCAUUUUUGGACUGAUAAAUUUUAAUAAAGUCAAGUACUUAGUCCAAUCCUGAGCCACGGCAGGGUAUUAAGCCAUGUUUGUUUAGAAUUAAAUCCCCAUCUUGUUUGAGGACAAACAAUAGUUCAAGUUUGGAGGGUUUUGAUAAGUGUGUUUUUACACACUUAUUUAGAUCACUAACAUGACUUAAUUACAAUCAAAAUGUUUAAAUUGUGGCUUAAUCUCGUUGAAUUUAUGCAAUCUAGGUGUUUCUAUGAAAAUUGUGGAAUUAAGGAGAAAAGAGCCGAAAAAGGAUCAAAAUGAAUCAAACUGAAAGCUCGGGGACCAAGUUGCAAAUAAUCCAUAGAUGAAACGGGAAAUGGAAUGAAGAUUCAAGAGUGUUAGAGUUUAACCGGAUGAGGAAAGGAGUCGAGAGGUGAAAUAUGAUCGAAGUAUUAUCAAGUAUCAGCUUUCAGGCAAAAAGUGAUUUUUAGUCUCUACUUGAGAUCCAUUUUUGUCAUAGUAAACAUCGGAAUUUGAGGAAGCCUAUUUCUAUCAAAAGUUUAGAUCUUUGAGUUUUCUUCCCAAUGCACUUGAAUCACUUCAAUGGAAGAUCAGGAGAAAAAGUUAUAACCAAAAUACUAAAAGCUGUCCGGCGGAAAAAAUCCCAUAACUUUGCGGUCGCAUAGUAUAAAUUCUAUGCGGUCGCAUAGAAGCCUCCCGAGAAUUUUUUCUCAAUUUUUCUUUUACUCUAUGCGAUAGCAUAGAAAUGUACUAUGCAGUUGCAUAGAACAAUUUCGAGCAGAUUCUGGAGUUUCCUUAUACGACUGAAAUUCUUUUGGUAACCUAAUUUUCACACGAUAUAAAUACCAAAAGAUGUCCAGAAAGAGGAAAACGUAUUGAAAGAGGGAAUAUACACAAUUUUGGAGGAUUUGGAGAGGAAGAACAAGGUAAAAACAAGGCAAUCCACUUCAAGAUUCAAGAUUUCACUUCAAGAAUCAAUUGGGUGAUGUUCUUCCUUGGUUUUAAUUAUUGUUUUUCUUUAUUUCCCAUUAUGUUAGGCUAGUUUUUCAUGUGCUAUGAUUUGCGAUGAACCUUAUAUUAUGAACCCUUAAUCUUGAAUUUUAUUAAUUUGACGUUAAAACAUGUUUUUAAUUAUUGAAUGAUUGACAUGGAUUUUAUUUUCUCUACAAUUAUGUGCGCAAUAGUUGUAUGAGUUUUGUGACUUGUUUUACUCUUGAGAGAUGGAAAAUAAGUUAGACAUUAUGUUAAUUGUCGAAAAGUUCGAUAGGGGAUAGAAAUAUACCGCUAUGCUUUACGUGAUCUUUAAGUAUUAAAAAUCUUUAAUGCAUUUUUAUAUGUUCGCAUCUGUCAUAGAAAUAUAGUUGGAUCGCAUGUGAAAUUAGGUUUAAUUCUAAUUGAGAGAGAUUGUUAAACAAAUUAGGAAUAUUGGUCUUCAUAAUUGAAUCGUGUUGUCAAUUUUAUAAAAUUCGGAUUAAAGGGGAUUCAUAUAAGGGGAUUCGGGAUCCUGGUACACAUUUCGUUAUCACAUUUUUAUAAAAUUUGCAUUUAGUUAUAGUCAUGCAUUUAAUCUAGUUAAUUUAGGCUUUAUAUUUAUAAGUAGGUUAUUAAAUCAUAAUUUAGUUAACGAAAAUAUCGAGAAUUUCUAUUGUUUCGAUUAAGGCGACGAUAGGUAAAAUUGAACUAAUCAAUCUCUGUGGGACGAUAUUCGGACUUAUUUAAUCCACUUUAUUACUUGUUAACGAACUGUACACUUGCGGUAGUUUAAAAUCGAAAGAAAUAAUUUCGCGAACAGUGUCAUUGUUCUUGUGCAUUUUUUAUUGUGUUUAUAUUUCCAUCAUUUGUUUGGCCAAUAGAUGAUUGUGUUAGGUGGUUUGUGCAAUUAUUGAGAGAGGGUUGUGCUUUCUAGAUCAAAAUAAGCCCUAGGUUCUUUUAGAAUAUAGAGAUAUACUCCUAGUCUUAUGUGGCCAAUUGAGUUAUUUUUACUAUAAUUUAAUGCAGUUGGUUGUGUUUUUGUCAACAUAGAGAUAUAGUGGGUAAAACAAAUUAAUUACGAUUAGUUUCACUCGAGAGAGGUAACUAACUAAAAUUGAAAAAUUGGGUCUAACAUUGGAACUUGCUAAUUUACAUUUUUGGUUUGUUGAAAUAUUGAUGAAAUGACAAUCAGGUGAAAUCAUAAAUUCCAACCCAUCUCAAAUUUAGAACAUUUUCAUUUUCAUAACUGUUAAUUAAAUUUAAGUCUCGAAAUAUAUUCUUUAUUUCUAAUUUGAAAGAAUUUAAUUGUGUGUCUCUAUCGCUAAUUUGAAUCAAUUUUUGUAUAAUUGGAAGAAAUACUCUUCGAGGGAUUGACUCGUACUCAAAAAGUCCAUUGCAUUAUUUGUAACGACCCGUGCACUUACGGUUUGCACUUUUAACAAACAAUUAGAUUAGGUCUUGCUAUAGAUGAAUUUAAUCAUUUCAAAGAUCUUAGCUGUAAAUAAAGUUGUUGGCCAAUAAUUUUCACUAUAUAUAACUUGCCUCCCUCAUUAUGCAUGUUAAAGGAAAGUCUAAUGUUGAGUUUAUUGAUCCCGAGACCUAAGCAGCCUGGUAAUGAUGUAGAUGUUUUUUUUGACACUACUUGUAGAUGACUUGAUAUUGUUAUGUAAUGAUGGGGUUGAUACGUUUGAUGUAGUUACGAAGUGACUUCAUUUGUCUUACACACAAGAAUUUAAUAAUUGUAAAUACCAUAAAUAUGGAGCAAAUAAAGGAAAGAUUCCAUUUUUAAUCCAUGGCAAUAUUUUAUUCUUUCCACACACACACAUCUUUGAAACACACAAGAUUUCAUAAAUUGACUUUUGGAGAUUUAAGUACUUUACUCUUAUUUAUCAAAUUCCAUUACGAGAUAAGUGAUGGUGCAUGUGGUUUAUAUGAAAAAUGUCAAGGAAUAGAAGUUACUAAAAAUAAGGACAUAAAACCAUGAUUUAGAAUCACGUUCAAAUCAAUUUAAAGCUUUUUUUUUUUUAACACAUGAAACAAUUAAUAUCUAACCUUUUUUAAAAAAAAAUUUGUCAAUUUUUUAUUUUAUUUUAUUUUAAACAUAACAGUGGUGGUCACUAUUUAGUGAACAGUAACCAUUUUGUAAAAAUGCGGUUACUGUUUACAUGAAUAGUACCGAGCACUGUUCAUGUAAAACAUUCUUUUUUUUUGAGUCUAUAGAAUCGAUUUUAAAACCCUGGGCUCUGAUACCAUUCUGUAAUACCCCAAUAUUUAAGUAGAUAAAAAUUGGGGCGUUUCAUUCACUAUGGUUGAAGCAUGGUAGGAAUUUUGCGUACAUAAGAUAUAGAAGAUUUCUCAGCUUUGAUCAUCCAUGCUGUAAGAAAAAGAGCUGGUUUAUUGGACAUAUUGAAAAUGGUAUUAGGCGGAAGAUGAAAAAUGGUGACGAAGAUUUUAUUGAAGUUGAUAAAAUUACAAAUGAUUGGGGAAAAUUUGGUAAGCCUAAGAGGAAGAGGAAUACAACUCAAUCUAAUGUAACAUGGAAGAAAAGAUCGAUAUUUUUCAAUCUGCCAUAUUGGAAGGUAAUUGCUGUAACAUAUCCCUCUUUUUUUUAUUUAAUACUUCUAAUUGCAUGUACAUUAAAAUGACACAAUUGAUGUUUGAUUUGCAGACGCUACUUGUACGUCACAAUUUGGAUGUGAUGCACGUUGAAAAGAAUAUGUGAUAACAUCCUUAGUACACUUUUGGAUGUUAAAGGAAUCCUAAACAUGACACUAACUCUCAUAAGGACUUAGAAGCUAUGAACAUUUGGUAUGAUUUACAUCCUGAAAGUAGAGGAAAUAAAUUCUAUCUACCAGCUGUUCCUCACACUUUAUCGAAACCUAAACGAGAAAUGUUUUGCAAAAGGCUUGCUAACUUGAGAUUACCCGAUGGUUAUAGAUCUGAUACUGAAAAUUACAUUUUGGUGGAAGAAUCUAAGAUAGUUGAACUGAAGUCUCAUGAUUAUCACAUUUUAAUGCAACAAUUAUUACCAGUUGGUUUGAGGGACUUCUACCUAAAGGACCAAGGAACUCCAUUUCGAAGUUGUGUUUUCACUUUUCAAUGAAAUAUGUCAAAGAGUUGUGGAUAGAAAUAAUGUCUAAGGAUAGAAAUAAUGUCUAACAAUUAGAGGAGGACGUGAUAGAAUUUGUAUACAUGUUGGAAAAGUAUUUUCCGCCUUCAUUUUUUGAUAUAAUGGUUCAUUUGGCAAUCUAUAUUGAGAGAGAAGUUCGUUUAUGUGGACCAGUACAAUAUCUUUGGAUGUACCUAUUCGAGAGGUAAUACUCAUUAAAGUUAUUCGAAAAGCUAAAUUCAUAUCUAAUUGGUCAAUUUGGAUGUUUCGAAUAUUUGUAUCUAUACAGGUAUAUAAAAGUGUUGAAACGGUAUGUUAUGAAUCGUGCAAGGUCUGAAGGGUGCAUAGCUGAACGUUAUAUUGUUGAAGAAAAUACAAUGUUUUGUAGCAAAUAUAGAACACAAGCAUCUGAAAUUAGCACUAAGCUUGUAUGCAAUGAGAAUAUGAGAGUGAUUUCUUAGUUGUAGGGCUUACAAUAUCUAAAGGAAAGUCGCUUGUGCUAUUCGAUGACACGUUGAAAGUGACUCAUCGCUAUGUGUUUUAAAUAAUAUGGAAGUUCAACUACACAUAGAGUACGUUUAUUAAAUAUCUACUUCAAUUGACUUAUUGUUUUACCAUAUUCAUUUUUUGAUAUAUUGUAUUUACCUAGGAUGCAUAUGGAUGAACUCAAGAGUCUUGACAAGCGAUGUGCUCGAAAUAAGACUUUAUUGCAUAAGAAGCACAUUGAUUCUUUUGCUACCUGGUUGGAUGAUAAGGUUGGGAUACAGAUAAAAAAUUAUGUCUCUCAGUUCUAUUAGUUACUUUACUCCAAACAUUUUUAAAAUAAAUACAGAUUAAAUGUCAACUAUUGGUGGAUAGUAUUUUGAACAAUUUGAUGUGGCUUGCACGUAAUCCUAGAUGUCAAUCCAUAUCAUAUUUUGGAUUUAUCAUAAAUGGUCUUCAAUUUCACACUAAAGAUUCAGAAAAAUCAUGUUAAAACAUGGCAUUUUAGUUGAGGCGACAACUAUUUGCAGAUCCAGUGCAAAAGAUAAUGCACAUAUAGUUGGACAAGUUCUUUAUUAUGGAGUUUUAUGUGAUGUUAUAAUUCUUAAUUAUAACGCAUUUCAUGUUCCAAUGUUCAAGUGAUUGUGCAAAUAUCGUGAAUGGAAUAAGAAGGAAAGAUGGAUUCACUCUGGUUAACCUUAAUGAAGGACUCAAACAACUUGAAAAUGAUCAUUUCAUCUUGCCGACACAAGCGAAACAAGUCUUUUACUCCAGAGAGAAUGAAACAUCUAGUUGGUAUGUUGCUUUGCAAGCACCACCUAUUGACUUUCAUUCUUCACACAUGGAAGAAGACACUACGUAUGAGGCAACUAUUCCACUAGAUAUAUCACAACGAAUUAUAGAUAACCUUGAUGAGGAUGAGAAUUAUGCAAGGAUAGACGUUGAAGGCUUAUUAUGUUAUUCGUAGAGUAGUUUGGUAACUAGCUUAUAUCCUCUUCAUUUUUUAAUAUUUUAACAUGUGAUACAUGUAGUCUUCAUAUUUUUAAUCUCUAAUCUUUAUUUAUUUUGAUGUUGCAGAUUUGUAUUCUACCUCUUGGUCAUCUUUCGAAUCAAUUAACAGUACAAAACAUAUUAUACAAGAUGGACAAAUCUGAGGUAAUUAUUUUUUUUUCUUAAAUUUGUGUAAGUUAUUUGUUAAGUUUCAAAAAUUAUUUUAUUUUAAUUUAGUUUUCAUGGUGCAUUGUUACAGUCAACUCUGCAAGCUUCCAAGAAGCCUAAACAAUGGAGAGCUACAAUUGCUGUGGCAAUUCGGAGACCAAUAAGAGGCUAUGGUUGUUGAGCGAACUAGAAAAUUCUUUACCUACUCCAAUUCAUGAUGAGCAAAACACGCAGCCUACAAAUGCAAAUGUAGAAGCUUCGAAGAAGAAAAUAGGUCCAACUCAAGUGAAAAUGAUUCCUGGAAAUAGUCAUCAGAAGAUGGAUCUCGAAUUCAAUAAAUAUGGGCAAGUAGUCGGCCAUAAUUCAGAUAAAUUUGCUAGCGUAGUUGGAGCCAUGGUAUGAGAACAUGUGCCUGUUGUAAUUAAAGAUUGGCAUUCAGUCGAUGGGAAGAAAAAAAUGGAACUUUGGAAUUUCAUACAGCUAUAUUUGUGAACUACCUUUUAACAUUAUUACGCUAUACUAUUUUCAGACUUUAAUUUAUUUAUUUAUACAAGUACAACAAAGGAUCAAUGUGAUAGAUUGUUAUCAAAAAAUAAUAAUUCAAUGUAUGGGAAAGUAUUAGAAGACAUUUAAGUCAAGGCUGCAAAAACAAAUCAGAAUUCAAGUUGAAUCAUCUGUGAAUAGAGCUCACACUACGACCCUUCUUAGACCGAAGAAUGUUAAAUUUGAAGAAGCAUGGGAAAAUUUUGUCAAGGAUAUGCUUUCUGCCGACUUUUGUGUAAGUUUAUUUGCAUACAAGGCUUCAACUUUUAAUAAUUACUGUACGCUAAUACUUUUUGGUUUUCGUAAUAGGAAAAAAGUCCAAAAUUUAGUAACAUGAGAACAUUUCAAAAGUUUGUCCACACUAUGGGUCGAAAAGGUUAUCCACGCAUUGCCCAUGAAAUGGUAAAAUUACAAACAUAUAUGUUCUUCUUAUUUGAAUUGUCCCACUUUAGUGUAUGUAAUUAUCGGAUUUUUAUUGUAGAGAAAAAAAUAUCCAGAUAUAAAAGAAUUGAGAACUAGAGUAUGGACUCAUGGUCAUCUUAAAGAAGAUAGAAAAUCGAUAAAUGAAGCAGUAGUCGACACUUUAGUAUGCAUUUUAUAUUCAACGUUCAACUAAGAAUAAUUUCAUUUAUUAUAUGGACCACUUGUUAAUAUAAAAUUUUAGUUCCAUGACUACAGAAAAAGAUUGAAGCAUGUGCUCAAUCUUCAAUCCUUUUCUGAUACACUAGCAGAAGACUCCAUUCGCGAUGAUGUUGUUGCUCGAGUUUUAGGUCCUGAGCGCCAGGGAAGAGUUAAAGGACUUGGAUUUGGAGUUGUACCAUCAAAAGUGGAUGGACAAAUUCAAAGUAAUGUGAGAGUUAGAGAACUUCAAAGUCAACUACAAAGUCAGUCAGAAAGGGUGGGAACGUUAGAAGAAAUGGUUGAAGCAUUUCUCAAGCUAUCUCAACAGGUUAUAAUCUUUUACAAUUAUAUACUGUGGUAACAAUGCUUAACAUAGUGAAGUACAUGUAGAUUUACUUUUCAUAAUUUUUGUAUCAUCUUGUAGAAUAUGGAGGAUAGGAGUUCUCGUGCUUUUACUCUUCAGGUUUUUGUAUCUUACAUUAUUAAAUGUUUAUUUAAUAUAAAUCUAGGUCAUAUAGAAAUCUAAUUUAAAAAAGUUUUUUUUUUAUAUUAACUGUGAAUUGUAGUCACACCAUGGAAGAGCUGUUCAAGGAGGUACUUCCAAUCUGGAAAAUGCGAGGUGUCAACUAUUACAUUAGUACAUGUUUGAGGAUGAAGAAAUUGUUGCAAAAGGGAAGAUUGCAACAGAUCCAAGUACAAAAGUGCAUCACUUGCCACUUGGAUGAGACUAUUGGAAGAUUUGGAUUGAGGAAGUGUAUAUGGAUAACUUGACAUUAUAUAGAUUGACACAUGAACUUCGAACUCUUAGUGAAGCCACGAGAAGUACUGUUGCUUGGUCAAAGAGCAGUAGUUGACUUAUUUGAUGAAGGUAUGUGUCGUUGGAGAAUUACAUGUGUACGAAUCAAUUAUAGUUCUAUUUAUAUAUAUGAGUUAUAAAUCAAACAUGACAUGAUUAUAUUUCAUUUUCCUUUAGCUAAAAACCAAGCAGAGCUCCUACAUUUGUACAAAGCAGGGUGAUUUCUAUUAGUAUGUUAUAGUGCAAGAAGAAGGUUUCAUGUAUUUCCAUAUUGCAUGGGUCAAAAAUAUGUAAGGAAUAUUAACCUCAAUUUCAUGCAUAGUUCGAUGAAAUGGAAAUGCAACAUGAACUACAUUUGUUUCCAUUUUGUAUUUUUGUAUAGGUUAAAAUAAGUAACGAAAUUGAAAUCUCAGUUUAUGCAUUAUCUUUAAUUUGUUGCUAAAUUUGCAUAUUUUUACUAUAGAAAUUUUUAGAAAUAAUCUCUAACACGGGUGAAAUAAAUACAAAAAUAGCCAAAAAUGGUGUAAAUAAUGAGAGAAACGACAACAUUUUUUAAAUGUUGUUGAAAAGUCUAUCGCACAUUUUAAUAAACGUUUCAAUAGAGGUUUCAGCAACAUCGAGGUUUGCAACAUAUGUUCAAACGUUGCAUAAGGUCUUUGACAACAUUUUUUGAAUGUUGCAGAAGACAUUUUUGUUGUAGUGCUACAAGAAAUUUCUGCACACCACCAUGUGGUCGCAUGGCUUUAUUUUUUAAACUUUUCUCUUUGUGUAGAAUUUCGCGAUGAUUCCGAAUUGUUUUCAUGGGCAAAAAUCCAACAUCUGAACUGAAAGUUAUGCCCGUUUUAAUCCACGCUACUCAUUUUUCCAUAUAUCUUCCAAAACAUUGAAUCAAACGUACCAAACAUGAUUUCGCUUUCAUAACCAACAUAUAAGUUGUUAUUUAGUUCGUUAACUUAAAAAAAUUUUACUCCAUAGCUCAAAUAAAUAAUUUGCAUGGCUUGUUAGCUCGAAUUAAGCUCGAAUCUUGGUCUUUGCCACUCAUCAACCAUCAACAAAUUCUCGAUAAUUUCUACCCCCCCCCUUGGAUCACAUCAACAUGUUUGUUUAGGGCAUGGAUGUCAAAUUCCCCAAGGAUUACUUUGGUAUGGAUCGCAAAAUAGGCGCCCUUAAUGCAGCUACCAUACUUUGCAUUGAAUCGUUGAGUGUAUUAGAACCUCCCAUCGAAAAUGAAGAAAAUGAUGAUUAUGAUUUUGAAGAUUCUAGCAGUGGGUCUGACAAUUUUCAAAAAGACAAUAAUUGAUUUUGUAAGUUGAAGCACUUUUAUCCGGGAAAAUCACUAAAAUUCUUUGAUGAGAGAAGCCACACUUAUCACUCAUCCAAAUUUGAUGAGCCCUAUAAUUUUAUAUUUAAGAUUGUCUUCUACCGUUGACCAUGAUUAUGCUGCCAACAUGUAUUAACGUUAACACGUACUUGCGCAUUUUUGGGAGAGUGGAAAUUGGUGUCGUAUGAUUUAUUAAUCAGCAACGAAAGCGGAAUCUACUGUUUCAAUUUCCUUUUCUUGAAGUUUGUAUUUUUGCCUUUUCACAAUAAUGCAAACUCGUUCUUCAUCCAUCAAGAAUUCACAAUAUAUCCUAACAAAACAUUUUUCACGUCUAUUCAAUUAUAAAGUAAAAUAUUGAUAUCUUUCUGUUUUCAAUGGACACUUCAAUAUAUAUAUAUAUAUAUACACACACACACACAUAUACUCACAUGAUGUGUGUGAGAGUAGUUUCUCGACUGGUUCAUGUUUAAUACACUUGUGUGUUAUAUAACAACUCCCUGACAUUAGGGAUUGCAUCAAAAUGCUUUCAAUGUAUCAAUGUUGCUUGAGUAAGUUUGAUCACUUUGUUUUCAUCCAUAUAUCCUAUCGAAUUGAUAAAAAUGAAGAUGGGAAAAUUGCUAAGUGACCAGUAUGGUUACUCAAUCUUUCCAAUGUAUUCCCCACUCUUGAAUGGAUAAAUUACAAGCAAAUGAGUUCUUAAAUACUACAAAAAACUUUGAAAAUCAAGAUCACAAUCUACAGCAAAUAAUAUAAAUUAAAGAGCUAAAAUACAGCUAUUAUAUCACUUCCCCGUUGUCCAGUGCAGGGUGCAAAACAGAGGAAUGGCCAUAUUCAGCUACUUUCUUCUUCAGGACAUGUUCGACCAGAAAUGGUUAGGUCAACCUUCAAAACCUGUGCCUCAGUCUUCUGUACAGAUCAGAUUUCUUUCAUUUUUGUCUGUGGUCUGCUCGUUACUCCCCUUCAAGAUGGGGAUGUGAUGCUAUGAAUCCCCAUCUUGCUUAGAAGAAAAUGAAACUAUUGUGAACCAAUUGCCUUGGUGAGGAUAUCUGCCACUUGCAUCUUAGAUGGAAUAUGUGAUGAUCUCAAUAAACCUUCCUGCAGCUUCUCUCUUACAAUAUAACAAUCGAUUUCAAUAUGUUUUGUAUGUUCUUGAUAAACCGGAUUUGAGGCAAUAUAAAUCGCGGCCUGAUUAUCACAAAAGAGCUGAACUGGUUUAACUAAAUCAACUCCAAGAUCACACAACAAACUUCGAAACCAUACCAGUUCGCACGUUGUGGAUGCCAUCGACCGAUAUUCUGCUUCGGCGGAUGAGCGAGAGACUGUCCGCUGUUUCUUGGAUUUCCAUGAAAUUAAAGCAUUCCCAAGAAAAACACAAAACCCAGUAAUGGACCUUCUUGUUAUCGAACAAGCACCCCAGUCCGCAAUGCAAAAUGCUGAUAAUUGGAGUGAGCUUGAAGCUGGAUAGAAUAGACCCUGUGAUGGUGAGCCCUUCAAAUAUCUUGCUGUCCGCAAGGCUGCCUUCCAAUGGGUGUCCUUUGGUUUGCUUAAAAAUUGGCUAAGCACUUGAACUGAAUAUGAAAUGUCCGGACGAGUGAUGGUUAAGUAAAGUAACCGCCCAAUGAGUCUUCUAUAUUUUGUAGGAUUAGCAAGAUCAAUCCCAUCCUCUGCAGUUAGUUUUAAAUUCUGCUCCAUAGGAAAACCAACGGGUUUUGCAGCAAGAAGUCCGCAAUCCUGUAAGAUUUCUAAGGCAUAUUUCCUUUAACAAAUGGAAAUGCCUUGAGAUGAUUGUGCCACUUCGAUGCCUAAAAAAUUACUUCAAUGGACCAAUGUCCUUGAGCUUGAAAUUUUGCACUAGAUAAUCCUUCAAUUGCUGUAUUUCCGAAGCAUUAUCACCUGCAAUAAUCAUGUCAUCAACGUACACCAACAUAGUAGUAAAUGAAGUGCAUGUUUUCUUAACAAACAAAGAAUAGUCAACCUUAGAUUGAAUGAACCCAAUCUUAGUGAUGACUGAAGUGAGUUUUUGGUUCCAUUGACGAGAUGCUUGCUUCAAUCCGUAGAGUGACUGUCUUAAUUUGCAAACCCGUUGCUCCCCUUGAGUACCAUAUCCCGGAGGUAGAGACAUAUACACUUCUUCAUCCAAGUCACCGUACAAGAAAGCAUUAUUGACAUCUAGGUGAGAUAGGGACCAGUUUUUGGAGGCUGCAAGGGCUAAGAAACAUCGCACAGUUGACAUCUUGGCCACGGGUGAGAAGGUCUCAAAAUAGUCUUCACCUUCCCUUUGAGUGUAGCCUUUUGCAACCAAUCUUACCUUGUGUCGUUCAAUGCUUCCAUCAGCCUUGUAUUUGGUCUUGAACACCCACUUGCAUCCAAUAGUUUUCUUCCCAUCUGGUAGCUGUGUAAGUACCCAAGUCUGAUUUUCUUCUAAUGCUCUUAUUUCAUCAUUCAUAGCAAUCCUCCAAUGAGGGUAUUUUAUGGCUUUGACAUAAGAAGUGGGCUCCGGUUCAAGGCUAACUGCUAAGGUAAAUUACAAGUGUGAUGGUGACAAAUGUGUAUAACCAAGAACCAAAGAGAGUGCAUAAGGAUUACCUUCAUCAGAUGACUUGUCAAGAGUAGGCUCGUUUGGUGUUGCUAAAGAGGUCACCAGCUUGCAAUGAAAAUCUUGAAGGUAAUGGGCUGUUUUCUAUCUCUAGUAGAUCUCCUCAGCUCAGGUAGAGACCCUAUCGCUUGGACAGGAGGAAAGUCUGGUGAACUGGGAUUUUCUACAGUAGGAAGAGCAGGAAUAUGCGUAGUUUCCACUUGGUUUGGUGCGCUGCUAGAGGUAUCAAAUGAAAGUUGUGUAUUUCCUUCAAUAUUGGUGUCGACCGGUUGUUGUGACAAUUCCAUGGGAUCAGAAAUUGGAUUAGGAAUAACCGCAGUAUUAUCUAGUGUGGAUAUGGUCAGAGUAGGCAAAAGAGAUGGCAUGUCAGUAUGUUGUUUGAAAGGAAAAAUUUCUUCAUAAAAGACCACAUCACGACUAACUAAGAUUUCAUGAGUUUUCAUGUCGAAGAGCUUGUAGCCCUUAAUUCCAUUUAGAUAUCCUAUAAAAAUACAUUUCUUAGCCCUUGAGUCAAACUUGGUUCGAUGAGGGUCGAGGUUUGAUGCAUAGCAUAGACAUCCCAAGAUUCUUAAGUGAGAAUAUGUAGGAAUUUUGGAGAAAAUGAUUUGGUAAGGGGUUUGGUUCUGCAGAUUUGGUGACGGAGUACGGUUGAUCAAGUAUGCGGCUGUAAAAACACACUCCUCCCAAAACUUCAAUGGAAGGUUGGCUUGGAACCUUAAUGCCCUUGCCACAUUUAACAAAUGUAAAUGCUUUCUUUCUACUAUGGAGUUUUGUUGAGGAGUAUAGGUACAACUUUGUUGGUGAAUGACUCCUUUUGAGGAAAAAAAUUCGGUCAUUUGGAACUCUUUUCCUUGAUCUGUUCGAAUGGCUUUAAUCUUGCAAUGGAAUUGAUUUUCAAUGAGGUUAAAGAAGGUUAUUAUUAACUGCCGUGUCUGGUUUUUGCUCUUCAUGAGAUAAAUCCAUGUAUUUCUACUAUGAUCAUCAACGAUUGUUAAAAAAUAAUGAGCUCCAUUGAGAGAGGCAACAAAAAAAGGUCCCCAAAUAUCCGCAAUAAAUCAAAACAGGAUUCAACAAACUUGCCAUCAGAUGGAAAAGGUAAACGAGUUUGUUUAGCCAUAUGACAAGUAUCACAAUGGUGUCUUGUAGAGAAAAUGGGGAUAGUGGGAUCCAUGCUAUGCAACAAAACAAGGCGUUGGUCUAAUGGAUGUCCAAGCCUUAGGUGCCACAAUUUUGGUGUCAAGGUAGUAAGAGAAUGUGCAGCUGGUAGAUGGUGGUGUAACUUGAUCUUAUGGUCACUUUCGUGUAGGUAGUACAACCCGUUCACCUCUUUAGCAACUCCAAUCGUCCUCCAAUGGACUAGCUCCUGAAUGAAACAGUAACCAGAUAAGAAUACAAGACAACAAUGGAGAUUUUUGGUCAGUUUGCUGGUCGAUAUCAGAUUGAAACUAAAACUUGGUACAUAUAAAACGUUCUCAAGAGUAAGAGUGGAUGAAAUGCGAAUAGUUCCUAUAUAUGUGACAGCAACCACAGUACCAUUUGGUAAUCUAACAGAUGUGUUCGAGAGAGAUUUCUUGUGUGUAAACAUGUCAAGUAAACUUGGUACAUAUAAAACGUUCUCAAGAGUAAGAGUGGAUGAAAUGCGAAUAGUUCCUAUAUAUGUGACAGCAACCACAGUACCAUUUGGAUGAAAUGCGAAUAGUUUGCUAGUCGAUAUCAGAUUGAAACUAAAACUUGGUACAUAUAUAACGUUCUCAAGAGUAAGAGUGGAUGAAAUGCGAAUAGUUCCUAUAUAUGUGACACCAACCACAGUACCAUUUGGUAAUCUAACAGAUGUGUUCGAGAGAGAUUUCUUGUGUGUGAACAUGUCAAGUAAACUAACUAUAUGGUCAGUUGCACCUGAAUCUAAAAUCCAAGAGUUUGAGUAAACCUCAGUUGACAUGCAGCUAAGUGAGGGACUGAUUGAAAAAGAGAAAGUGCUGGGAUUUUUACCUGUCAUAUUUGAAUGUUGGUUACCUAUGGGUUGUGAAGUGGAGCUAGCUUGGGGAGAUUUUUGGCUUUGGAGAAGAGUUAUCAGUUGCUGAAUUUGGUCAUGAGAAAUAUUCAAACUUGAGCUAUUUGUGCCUUCAUUUGCAGCAGCAAAACUCACUGUUUUGUAGUCAUUUCCAGAUGUUGCUGUAGCCUUGUAGAAUUUGUGGUUGGGUGGAUAGCCAUUAAUCUCCCAACAAUUGUCUAUGGAAUGAUUAGUGCGGCCACAUUUCUUACAUGGAGCUUUGUCUUUUAGUCUCAUCCCUUUGUAGUUAUUAAUCUGUCCUUGUCUGGAAGAAUUUUUCUGAUAUUGAAAUUUGCCAGAGAACAUGGCAGCAGACUCGACUGUGGUAUUACUGCUUUUGGUCAGCUCUUGGUCAGCUUCUUCUUAUAAAAUAAAGUUGAAAACUCUGUCAAGUGAUGGCAAUGGAUCCCUCAGAAGGAUUUCGUUCCUCAGCCCAUUGUAAACUUCAUCUAAACCCAUCAAAAAUUGCAUAAUCUGUCUUCUUUCUUGCCUCUUCAUGAUUAUGGAGAUGGCUCCACAAUCAGUUGCCAUGCACUUGAAUGGUUCCUCAUAUCUCGAUAUUUCUUCCCACAUGAGUUUCAACUUUGAAAAAUAGACACUUACUGGUGUUUUCUCUUGCUUGGUCACUGCUAGUUGUUGUUCAAGCAUAAAAAUUCGACUAUUGCUUGACUUAGCAAAUCGUUUCUUGAGUUCCUCCCAAACUUGUGAUGCUGAAUCAGAGUACAUGACAUAUCCUGCUAUCUCUGGUGAAAGACUAUUCAUAAGCCAAGACAAGAUCAUGUGGUUGCAUCUUUGCCAUUGUGGAUAUUUCUCAUCAGUUUCUUCAGGCUUCUUGAUUGUGCCAUCAAUGAAGCCCAGCUUAUUUUUGGCAGAUAGAGCCACAUACAUGGCUCUACUCCAAGCAUGAUAAUUUUGGGGUGUAAGAGGCUGUGAGACAAGGAGUAAGCCAGGGCUCUCACCAUGGUGGAGAAAGUAUGGGUUGGAUGAUUCAUCACUAAGCUGUGUGUUGCUUUUGGGUCCUGGAUUUGCUUCAGCCAUGAUGGGUUAGAAGGAGAAUUUAAGGCAGGUGCUGGAAGAUGAGAAGAUAGGUGAGAGCUUAAGCUCGAUUCAACAGAGGCUGAGCCUCUUGCUCUGAUACCAUGAUAAAAAUGAAGAUGGGAGAAUUGCUAAGUGACCAGUAUGGUUACUCAAUAUUUCCAAUGUAUUCCUCACUCUUGAAUGGAUAAAUUACAAGCAAUUGAGUUCUUAAAUACUACAAAAAACUCUGAAAAUCAAGAUCACAAUCUACAGCAAAUAAUAUAAAUUAAAGAGCUAAAAUACAGCUAUUAUAUCACUUCCCCGUUGUCCAGUGCAGGGUGCAAAACAGAGGAAUGGCCAUAUUCAGCUACUUUCUUCUUCAGGACAUGUUCGACCAGAAAUGGUUAGGUCAACCUUCGAAACCUGUGCCUCAGUCUUCUGUACAGAUCAAAUUUCUUUCAUUUUUGUCCGUGGUCUACUCGUUACGAAUAUGUGUACGUUGUGUGCAUAAUAUCUGUAGAUGUACAAUCGGUCUCCCUUGCACUUGUUAUUGCACUACUCAAAUUUUCCUAAGUCACUGCAUUACAUAAUCAAUUUUAUUAAAUUUUGCGUUGAAGCACGUUUCUUCGUGAUUAUUUUGAAUUAACAGUAAUAUUAAAAUUUGUCUCUGGACCCCCGAGGUAUAGCCUAGUGGUACAAAGGACAGGAGUGAGGUUAUUUCACGUCUUGCUGGCAGCCGCAGUGUGGGGGUUCGAUUCCUGAAACAUGGAAUUGGACUCCUUGAAGGCGCAGUGUACAGAUAGCUCUUGUUCCCUGGCCUGUUAGGACACAUCUCGCGAUUUACCUCCCUCACAAAGCUCUAGGGGCGGAGCGGUGAGAGCCCUCAAGUUUGGGGUUCAACCUUUUUUUUUUAAUAGUAUGCUCUGUUGUCUAUAAAUGUUUAAUGUCUUAAAUGCACGAUUGAAUAGGAAGGGAAAGUUCAUCACCAAUAUCAAUGUUUUCUAAGGACAUGACGUAAAACCAAAUCUCAACCUUAAGUUAAAUGUGCAGCAGAAGCAGAUAUUUAUGGCAUUGUGCUUUGAUCUUCCUUAAGAUGAAUGAUAUCCUCUUACACGGAUGGAUUUAUGUGGGGCAGUGGGGCCCACACUAAAUUUAAAAUUUCAAAAUUUACCCAAGAUUUUUCAAAAUUUAAAAAAAAAUGAAAAAAUUUCUUCAUAGUUUUCAAUUUUUGCUUCUACAAUUAAAAUUUUGUAAAAAUUGCCCUCAAAAUUCUUUUAUCUUACCUCCGUCCGAUUAUAUCAACAAAUGUUGAUGUUGAUAUUGACUAGUUCUUUGUAUGUAGCUUGUGGUUUGAUUCAAGUUCAUAUCAGUUUACGAUUUUGGAAUGAAUAUUUCAUAUACCAUGAAAUUACUGAUUAUUGAUAUACUAUUCAUUUUUUUCGUCAUCGUUUUGUUUGGUCACUUCAUGAAAAUGAUUCUGUACGUCAAUUCUACUCAAUGUAUCUCUCACUUAUUUUACGGAUAUGCUUGGAAAAUUUGUGACUUUUUUGUUGGUGAAUAUGUUCAUCAAACACGGAGGUUUCAUGCAGUUUGCUGUAUGCGUUCAUAUAGACGUUUUUUGUGGAUCAAGAUUUGAUUCAUGUAAAUUUUCUUUAGGAUAAAACUCUGUGUACAAAGCUUUUUUUACAGAGGUCUUAUCGACCCCUCACAUGAGAUCGAUGCCAUGUGAGCCCCGAUGUAAUAAAAAAUGAAGAAAAAAAUCCCAACCUCACCCCUUUGUGAGAACUCUGUAAGAGUUCUGUAAUGCGUUGGGUUGUACGCCCGUACUGCCCUUUUCUUUAUAUGGGAUAUGAUGUAUUCUUUUUAUUUCAGGUUUAAGAAAUUUCAUUCUUAAUAUUGUUUGGCUCUCUUCAUGAAGUUACAUUUAUCUAUUAACCGUUUCGAAUGUCUGCAACCAUUCUCAACCUAUUUUUAGUAGAGAGUUGUCAUUUGUUAUUCAUAAAAUUUUAUUUUAUCUCAUGCAUAUGUAGUUUUUUCUUUAAUUAAUAACUAAAAUGAUAUGGGGAUCAUCAUUUUUUUUAUAUAAAAUGUGUAGUGCAUUAUGUCAACUGCGGAUAUUAAUUCAAAUCAUAAAAUAAGCUGAAGUGUAUGAUUAAUUAGUGUUGGUGACAUCAGAAUCUAUCUACCUUAUCAUCAUUUAUUGUUCAUUUCCCCAUAUUACCCUGUUAAAGUAAUUCUCCUUUUUUUUAUCGGUCAAUGUAAAACUUAAUAAAUCAAAACUCAUUUACAAGUACCCUGAACAUAUUUGGGUAAUUCAAGAUCAAGUAAGCAAUACAUGUACACCAAGCAUACCCGAGUAAAUAAAAAUAAGAUCUACAAACUAUCAUCUAAUGACCUAAGGACUCAAACCGGAUCAAAACUGUUGGGUUUUUGAUACCCAAUGAAUCCCGGGCUAUGAUGUUAACGUGGGUUAAUAUUAUUUCUUAGGCAUAGGCCGAUGAAUGAAAUAAGUCCAACAACCAAGUCCAUGAGCUACACCCGGCCCAAUUGUAUUCCUUAUGGAUGGUUUGAAUCUUGGCCCGCUUACCCCUUUAAUGGCCCAACUUAAAACCUAACCCUAGAGUAUAUAUAUGAAUAUAACCCUAGCCUCUUUGAUAUGAUGAUUGUGUGAUUUUGAAAGAAGAAACUAGUGAAUCCCGGAUGCCCCCCUUUUGUGUGAGAAAAAGGUGUCCAGAAGUGUCCAGAACGCUUGUAUAACGUGUGCAAUUGAUGGUUCUUUCAUAGUAUACCUUUGUGGUGUCUUCUCUUAGCCUUUGUGGCGAUAAAUCAUCAUCCCUUCUUGUCCUACGUGGAUAAGAUUGUAUAGCAACCAAGGUGAAUCAAUUGGCUGUGGUUUGGAGCCGUUUGGAUUGGUUGUUGGUAGAGAAAGGUACGUUGGACUGAGCCUGAAAAAUCACCGUUUGAAGAUCUUUUGAGAGAGCUUCCGUAACAAUUGAUAUCAGAGCUUCAAGGUGAAGGUUUUGGCUCGUGAAAUCUACCAGAAAUCGUCCAAAAAAAUUGGCAGAAACGUGGCAGAAAUCAGAUCGAAAAACUGUCCAGAAAAAAAUCAGUCUCUGUUUUGGUGUUUUCUGACCAAUCCAGAACGAGUUUGGGGAAACAGAGACCACUGGUAUAACGUGCAGGCGGUGGCGAUCAAGACGGUCAGGCGCGUGUGAACGGCGGCGGCGCGUGGCGGAGGCGCGUGGAGGCCACGCGCAGGGACUGAUUGGGCGCGUGCGGGCGCGUGUGAAGUUUUCUGGCUACGGUCUCUUCAGGUAGUUUGUUCCUUAUAUUAUUUUUAACAUUUUUGGUAUUGAAAGUUUUCUAUUUCAGAGUAUACAGAAGAAUCUGGACAGCGUUGUUAUUUGGGCGUUCGGGACUCGAUCGUGAUUUUUCGGUUGCUACAGUUUCCAGAGACUUUAGGACGAAUAGUGAUAGUCCUAAAGUGAUGAAUUCGCGUCUCUCAAUAUUUACGGACCUUCAGACGUGGUCCGCUCGGUAUCGUGUUCUUUGUUUUUAUUAUUGCAGUUGAAAUAAAUGUGUAGAGUAAUUUAUUUUUUGCAUUAGAGGUCAUCGUGUGGGAUGACAUUAGGUUUGGGGUUACCAUGAAGGGGGUAACCAUUGCCUGUUGCUAGACCUAGGAAUUAUUUGUUAAUUAUUUGCCUUAAAUUCUUUGUGAAUUUGCUGUCAAUUUUUUCUACAUUAUUAGAAUUGCAUGUGGCCUUAGGAAAGUUUACUGGACUAUUCUGUGUGAAUUAUGUUCAUACUUUACUUGUGGUCAUUAUUUGACAUUGUUGGAAAAUGUGGAUCUAAGGUAAAUGCAAAAAAUAACAUAUAUUUUAACUGUGGUGAAAUUUGGACAUAGUUGAAAGAGAUUGUUCUAGGAUGAUAAGAAAAGGAAAGAUGAGGAUAGAGACAAGGUGAAUAUGACUUUAGGGUCGAGUAGUGAUCCUAGUGAGGUUUAUUGAGAGAAUAAACUUGGUUCUUGCAUUGCAUCUGUGUGUAAUCCUUUCUGCAUGUAUGUGGUCACUUAAUUCUGUUGUGAUGUUGAUUUUACACUUUCAAUAUGUUUGAUGUGUGUAAUUGCAUGAAUUAGAGGAACUUAUUACUUUGUGUAAUAUGUUUACAUGCAUAGUGAGUUAAGUAUUGUGGCGUACUCUAUUUGCUCUGUGAGUGGUGUGAGAGUGUGGUAGUGAGAAGAAAGUUGGGCAGCCGUUUCUCUCCUUUAUCUUUGUGAGUCUGUGUGGUUUGUGAGAUUAUGUGAGGCAGCCAUGUUAGGGUUAUAUUCUUCCUCUUUGUGAGCCUCUUUUGUGAGUGUUGUGAAGUAACCGACUCUUUCUUCGAUUCUCUUUGAGAGUGCCACCUUUACUAUUUUCUUUGUGAAUUUUUUGGGAGCAUUGGUGAGUGGAUUAACCUUUGUGGUUACCAAAAGGUGUUGUUUAGCCAUAGUGAGUUUGAGAUGCAUUAGCAGUGAGUUGGAUGUCUUUUGAUGAGGUGGAGUAUAGAUGCCUAGAGGUGCAUUGGUGAUAUGCACGAGGGAUGUAGAGUGUGACAUUUGGAUCACGAGUGGAGAUGUGAUCAAAUGUCUAGGAUCCUUUAUCUGGAAAGAGACCCUGAUCAGGUGGAGUGUGAGAGAGGCACUUAUAUCACUUCUGUUAGGUGGAGACCCAUUAUCCACGUAGGUUGGGAGAAGUGAUGUGGAGAUAAAGGAUUAUCCCGUGGACUUAGGAUCUAUUGUGACUUGCCAGUUAGACAUGAGUUGAGUGAACUGUCUAUUGAGCUUGGUGGGUGAUGAGAGGAGAUAUGUGUUCUCGUGGUGUGAGCAACACGGAAUGGGAUAGGAUAAGUGUGGUGAGAUCUUUUCUUAGGGUCAUUUAUGCAUGUGUUGCAUAUGUGGUUGACCGUGGUUUGAUUGACUUGGUGUUAAUCUAUGGUUCUAUGUGAACGUGUUUCUGAAAAGAUCUGUGUGUGUUAUCCUAUAGUAUAUCGUCAUCGCAUGUGUAUUUGCUCUUGAUUGUUUACUGUUAAAUAUUUGCUUCUACUUGGGUGUUUUUGACCUUAGCCCCAGUGAGUACAUGGAGCAGGUAUGGUAUGUGUUUCAAGUUGGAAACACGAGGUAAGGUCUGUGAUCCAAUUUUAUUGGCUACCUUGAUUAUGCAAGUGUUAACUGUGUGUUUUGAUUGCUUGCAGAUUUAUUGGGCAUCAAGGUGGAGAUUUGUUGGGUUUUUGAUACCCAAUAAAUCCCGGCCUAUGAUGUUAACGUGGGUUAAUAUUAUUUCUUAGGCAUAGGCCGAUGAAUGAAAUAAGUCCAACAACCAAGCCCAUGAGCUACACCCGGCCCAAUUGUAUUCCUUAUGGAUGGCUUGAAUCUUGGCUCGUUUACCCCUUUAAUGGCCCAACUUAAAGCUUAACCCUAGAGUAUAUAUAUGAAUAUAACCCUAGCCUCUUUGAUAUGAUGAUUGUGUGAUUUUGAGAGAAGAAACUAGUGAAUCCCGACUGCCCCCCUUUUGUGUGAGAAAAAGGUGUCCAGAAGUAUCCAGAACGCUUGUAUAACGUGUGCAAUUGGUGGUUCUUUCAUAGUAUACCUUUGUGGUGUCUUCUCUUAGCCUUUGUGGCGAUAAAUCAUCAUCCCUUCUUGUCCUACGUGGAUAAGAUUGUAUAGCAACCAAGGUGAAUCAAUUGGUUGUGGUUUGGAGCCAUUUGGAUUGGUUGUUGGUAGAGAAAGGUACGUUGGACUAAGCCUGGAAAACCACCGUUUGAAGAUCUUUUGAGAGAGCUUCCGCAACAAAAACAUUCGGAUACAAAGUAAACAUAGCUUUGUAUACGUGUGUUUUAAUCCUUCUUGCAAUAGAAUCGACUUGUGGUCGAAGAUUUUCAAAAAUAUUUCUAUUCCCAUCCAAAUGUAGUAGAGAGUGGUAGCAAGUGCCAUAUGCUUAGAUUUGCUUUGCCCACUCGUUCCUCGAUCUUCUUUUCUAAUCCACUCCAACGAACUCAACAAGGAUGACAUGUUACAUAAAAUAGCUAGCCAACAACGAAUGUGUUCCCAGAUGGCUUUGUUGAUCGGACAGGAAACAAAAUAGAUGUUGUGUUAUCUCCUCAAUUUGCCCACAAAAAGAACAGCUUCGGUCCAAGUCUAGGUGCCGUAACCUGUCUUUGGUUUAUAAACUGUCCACCACUCCCAACCAAAGGAUAAAUGCAUGCUUUGGAGUGAUAGAACCAUUUCAAACAGUAGAUGUCCAACCAGCUUUAACACCCUUUGUUCGAAAGAACUCAUAAGCAGUCAUGGUGCUAAAUCUACUCGCCUGUGUCCAGCGAUACAACCUAUUUGCAGCUGCAUGUAUUGUACUCUCUUGCUCUAUGAUUUUUUCCCUGAUUUCCAGCACUUUUUUAAGCAAUGGAGAGUCAUCUUUCUUCUUCAUAUAUUCCCAAAUGUCAAUGCCACGAAAAUGGCCCAAAUCCACCCAUUUUAUUAGAAGAUAAUUUUUCUUAUUGUGGAUGUUCCAUAUUGUUUUGGAGAGUAAAGCAACGUUCCAACUUUUGAUAUUUCUCAAACUAAAUUUUUCUUAUUGUAAAUGUUCCACAGUGUUUUGGAGAGUAAAGCAACGUUCCAGCUUUUGACAUUUCUCAAGCUAAGCCUGCCUUCAUGCUUUGGCAAGCGAAUGUGAUUUCAAGAUACCAAUGAUUUCUUGAACUCCAAAGGAACUUAUGGCACAAACUCAUAAUUUUAAAAGCAACCAUUUCUGGAAUGGGGAAGAUAGAUAGCCAAAAAUACUCCACUCCUUAUAGAAUGGUUUUCACAAGCUCUGCUCUCCUCGCAUGUGAUAGAGGAAUGCUCGACCAUGCACCAAUAUAAGUAGAAAUUUUGUUGAUAAAAGUAUCAUAUGGACUAAUUUUGAAUUUCUCUGCCGCUAGUGGUAUGCCCAAGUAGCAAAAUGGCAUGGCAUCAUUAGGGAAGAUAGUUAGUACAAGGAUGUCCUCCAAAUCUUUACCAUGCACUCCCGCGGUGUGUAAACUAAAGUUAUCAACAUACAUUUUGAGAUUUGAUAUAUCUCCAAACCUUGAAAGACAAUUCAUCAAGAUAUCUAUCGUCAUAACAUCUUCUCUUCCAAAAUGCAUCAAGUCAUCGACAAAUGCAAGAUGUGUGAUCUUUAAAGGUGCACAUUUAGGAUGGAAAUUAAACUUAAUAUCAUCAGUUACCCUUUUCACCAAUCUAGAGAAAUAUUCUGGACAUAGUACAAACAAAUAUGGAGAGAGAGGAUCACCUUGGCGGAAACCUUUCCUUCACUUGAAAAAACCAUGAAGGCUACCAUUAAGAGCGAUAGAGUAAGUAGGUGUUGUAACACACUCCAUCACCCAAUCAAUGAAUGUAGUAGGGAAACACAAACCAACAAGCCUGCUGUCCAAUUGCUCCAGCCUGCUGUAUCACCCCCGUUUCAGUUGGAAAAUCACCAUCAUUGCCAAUCUGUGAAACACAUUCAACGGUAGAAAUCUGGUCCUUACUUUUUGCAGCAAUCUGCCCAUUUUCCUAACCCGAAACGUGCUUUGUAGAAGCCUCAACAGCUUGAUUUUGUUUGCUGGCCUAUUUAUUUAAAUUGCACGAAGCUGCCUUAUGUUCGAACAUCUUGCAAUUACCCCAAAAUCUUGGCUUGUACUCAAAAACCACUUGUUGAAUUCUAUAUUUACCCGUGGGUAGAGUCAUUACCAUGGAUUGAACCAAGUCUAUCAAUGCAUCAACCACCACUAAAACCUGAGCAUAAGCUAACCACUCCUUGUUCGACAUGAAUUUAUCCAUGGAUAUUGGAUUCCCAAUCUUUGAAGCAAUUUUCACCAGCGCUCUAGAAUUCCAACAAUCCAAAGGAAGUCCCUGAAAUUUCCCCCAUACCAGCACUAUGCUAAUAUUUUCAUCAUCAAAUUCAAAACACAACGACAUAGUCUUCAACAUUAAAGAUAGUCUUCCUGGUACACCCCAAAUCGCCCUAAUUUUACUCUAUCGGGUCAACAAUUAUUGUAGCAACCCUCCUUCUAUGAGCAGUGGAAUGAAGCAUUGGAAAAAGCUAUUCGUUAAAACUUAUAAAGAGACGUGUCUGUUUUUCUUUAAAAGUUUAAAAACUCCCCAAAAAAAUUAUGCACUCUGUCCAGAGACAUACCGUUCUCGUGCAUUUUCUCCAUACAUGUGGUCCCAUACUUCGUAAAAUUAACUUGUUCAAUUAUAGUCAUUCUAUAUGUAAUCUUGUUCAAUUAACUUUUUGCUAUCUUCAUUCUUAGUCCGAUAUUGAAGGAAAAAGUUGCUAACUUUAUUCUUUUAGUCAAUCUCAUACUUUGAAUGAAAAAGUAACUCUUUGCUACCUUUCCUUUUCAAAUAUUUUACGGUCUAUUUUACAGUCAUAUUUUUCCACACAAAAAAGUGCUAAAAAUGCAGCAAACCAAAGUUGCUUUUAAAACUUUGUCAAUUGUUAAGAACCAAGAGGACAGUAUUCAGAUAAACUAAUUUUGAUACUUUUAUCAUUGUUAUUUUUUUGUUGUAUCACAUUUGUGCAUUUUAAUUACUUUAGGAUGAAGGAAUAUACAAAAAUGUCCUACAAGAAAUGGCCCAGAAAGAAGGUCUUAAGUUUCCAUCAUAUGAGACAUCCCCAGCAAGUCCUCACAAAAUUGGAUUUGUGUCAAUUGUUGUGGUUGGAAGUGACACUUUCCAAGGAAUUGAAGCCAGAACUAAGAAGCAGGCAGAAGCAAAUGCAGCUGAAGUGGCUUACAUUGAUCUUAUUCGAGUAAGAAACUAAUGUGGAAAAAUAUGUUCAUGCUUUGGUUUGCUGCAUUUUCAACACCUUUUAGUGGGGAAAAAUAUGUUCGUGCUUUAUAUAUUUUUCCAUCCAGAGAUAUACCUGACUUGUAGUAGAGAGCGUGAGGAGGGUCGUCGGGUUUAUAAGCGUACCCAAGUAUAGUAAGACCUUUCUUUUGAGCAUAUUGUUGCAAUAGAUUUACAUAUAUGUGCAACUUGACUUCGUAUAUUAUGAUAAGGUUUUCCUUUUUCCUUUUGAAGAUAGACUGUAAAAUAUUUGAGAAGGUAAGGUUGCAAAGAGUUACUUUUUCAUUCAAAGAAUGGGAUUGACUACAAGAAUGAAGUUCGCAACUUUUUCUUUCAGUAUGGGACUAAGAAUGAAGAUCCUAGCUCACCCCCCAACUACCGGCGCGAUCGUUGGCCUGGUAUAACCCCGAAUUGCCCUACUUUUACUCUAUGGGGUCGACAAUUAUUGUGGCAACCCUCCUUUUACAAGCAGUGGAAUGAAGCAUUGGAAACAGCCAUUCGUUAAAACUUAUAAAGAGACGUGUCAUUUUUCUUUAAAAGCUUCGAAACCCAAAAAAAAAAAUGCAUAUAUCCAAGGACAUACCAUUCUCGUGCAUUUCAUCCAUACUUGUGGUCCCAUACUUUGAAAAAUUAACUUGUUCAAUUAUAGUCAUGCUAUAUGUAAUCUUGUUCAAUUAACUUUUUGCUAUCUUCAUUCGUAGUCCGAUACUGAAGGAAAAUGUUGCUAACUUCAUUCUUGUAGUCAAUCUCAUACUUUGAAUGAAAAAGUAACUCUUUGCAACAUUUCCUUCUCAAAUAUUUUACAGUAUAUCUUCAGAAGGAAAAAAGAAAACCUUAUCAUAAUGUACGACGUCAAGUUGAACAUAUAUGAAAAUCUAUUGCAAAAAUAAGCUCAAAAGAGAGGUCUUAUUAUGCCUGUGUAUACUAAUAAACACAACGACCCUCCUCACACUCUCCACUAUGAGUCACGUGUCUCUUUGGAUGAAAAAAUAUAUAAAGCACGAGUAUAUUUUUCCCCACCAAAUGGUGCUGAAAAUACAGCAAACCAAAGUUGCUUAUGAGGCUUUGUCAAAUGUUAAGACCCAGAGGCCGGUAUUCAAACCAACUAAUUUUGAUACUUUUUAUCAUUAUUACUUUUUGUUGUAUCAUAUUUGUGCAUUUCAAUUACUUUAGGAUAAAGGAACAUACAAAAAUGUCUUAUAAGAAAUAGCCCAAAAAAAAGGUCUUAAGUUUCCGUCAUAUGAGACAACCCCAGCAGGUCCUCACAGGGCUGGAUUUGUGUUAAUUGUUGUGGUUGGAAGUGAAACUUUCCAAGGAAUUGAAGCCAGAACUAAGAAGCAGGUAGAAGCAAAUGCUCCUGAAGUGGCUUACAUUGAUCUUAAUUGAGUAAGAAACUUAUUAUUUAUUAGGUUUUGAGUUCGCUCCGACAGCUACGUUAACUAUCGAGUAAGAGCAAUGUCAGUCACUUCAGCAGCAUUUGCUUCUACCUGUUUCUUAGUUCUGGCUUCAAUGCUUUGGAAAGUGUCACUUCCAACCACAACAAUUAACACAAAUUUAGUCUUGUGAGGACCUGCUGGGGAUGUCUCAUAUGACGGAAACUUAAGACCUUCUUUUUGGGUCAUUUCUUAUAGAAUAUUUUUGUAUAUUCCUUUAUCCUAAAAUAAUUAAAAUGCACAAAUGUGAUACAACAAAAAAGCAAUAAUGAUAAAAGCAUCAAAACUAGUUGGUCCGAAUACUGGCCUCAUGGGUCUUAAAAAUUGACAAAGCUUCACAAACAACUUUGUUUCGCUGCAUUUUCAACACUUUUUAGUGAGGAAAAAUAUGCUCGUACUUUAUAUAUUUUUCCAUCCAGAGUAGACACCUGACUUAUAGUGUAAGGAGGGUCGUCGAGUUUAUAAGCAUACACAAGCAUAAUAUGACCUCACCUCUCUUUUGAGCAUACUAUUACAACUUUUUUCCUCUGUAUAUAAAGUAUUGGAGAAGGUAAGGUUGCAAAGAGCAACUUUUUUAUUCAAAGUAUGGGACUAAAGAUGAAGAUCCUAGCUCACCCCCAACUACCGACGCGAUCGUCCACCUGGUAUACCCUCGAAUCGCCCUAAUUUUACUCUAUGGAAUCGACAAUUAUUGUGGAAACCCUAUUUCUACGAGCAGUGGAAUGAAACAUUGGAAACAACUAUCUGUUAAAACUUAUAAAGAGACAUGUCUGUUUUCCUUUAAAAGCUCCAAAACCCAAAUAAAAUGCACUAUUUCCAAAGACAUACCAUUCUCGUACACUUCCUCCAUACUUGUGGUCCCAUACUUUUUAAAACUAACUUGUUCAAUUAUAGUCAUUAUAUAUGUAAUCUUGUUCAAUUAACUUUUUACUAUCUUCAUUCUAGUCCGAUACUGAAGGAAAAAGUUGCUAACUUCAGUCUUGUAGUCAAUCCCAUACUUUGAAUAAAAAAGUAAAUCUUUGCUACCUUUCCUUCUCAAAUAUUUUACAGUCUAUAUUCGGAAGGAAAAAAAAACCUUAUCAUAAUGUACGAAGUCAAGUUGCACAUAUAUGAAAAUCUAUUUCAACAAUAAGCUCGAAAGAGAGGUCUUAUUAUGCCUGUGUAUGUUAAUAAACUCGAUAACCCUCCUCACGUUCUCCACUACAAGUCACGUGUCUCUCUAGAUAGAAAAAUAUAUAAAGCACGAAUAUAUUUUUCCACACUAAAAGGUGCUGAAAAUGCAGCAAACCAAAGUUGCUUGUGAAGCUUUGUCAAUUGUAAAGACCUAAGAGGCUAGUAUUCGAACCAACUAAUUUUGAUGUUUUUAUCGUUAUUGUUUUUUUUUUUUUGUUGCAUCACAUUUGUGCAUUUUAAUUACAUUAAUAUGAAGUAAUAUACAAAAAUGUCCUAAAAGAAAUGGCCCAAAAAGAAGGUCUUAAGUUCACGUCAUAUGAGACGUCCCCAGCAGGUCCUCACAAGACUGGAUUUGUGUCAAUUGUUGUCGUUGAAAUUGAUACUUUCCAAGGAAUUGAAGCCAAAACUAAGUAGCAGGCAGAAGCAAAUGCUGCUGAAGUGGCUUACAUUGAUCUUACUUGAGUAAGAAGCUAAUUAUUUAUUGGAUUUUGAGUUCGCUCCGACAACUAAGUUAACUAUCGAGUAAGAACAAUGUAAGUCACUUCAGCAGCAUUUGCUUCUGCCUAUUUCUUACUUCGGGCUUCAAUUUCUUCGAAGUGUCACUUCCAACCACAACAGUUGAUACAAAUCCAAUCUUGUGAGGACCUGCUGGGGAUGUCUCAUAUGACGGAGCCUUAAAAACCUCUUCUCUGGGUCAUUUCUUGUAGGACAUUUUUGUAUAUUCCUUCAUCCUAAAGUAAUUAAAAUGCACAAAUGUGAUAUAACAAAAAAGCAAUAAUGAUAAAAGCAUCAAAAUUAGUUGGUCCGAAAUACUAGCCUCAACAAUUGACAAAGCUUCACAAGCAACAAUGGUUCCCUACAUUUUCAUCACCUUUUAGUGUGGAAAAAUAUGUUCGUGCUUUAUAUAUUUUUCCAUCCAGAGAGACACCUGACUUGUAGUGGAGAGCGUGAAGAGGGUCGUCGAGUUUAUAAGCAUACACAAGCACAAUAAGACCUCUCUUUUGAGCAUAUUGUUGCGGUAGAUUUACGUAUAUGUGCAACUUGACUUCGUACAUUAUGACAAUAUUUUCUUUUUUCCUUCUGUAGAUAGACUGUAAAAUAUUUGAGAUCAUAAGGUUGCACUUUGCAAUUUUUUCAUUCAAAGUAUGGGACUAAGAAUGAAGAUCCCAGCUCACCCCCCAACUACCGAUGUGAUCGUCCGCUUGGUAUACCCCUAAAUCGCCCUAAUUUUACAAUAUCGGGUCGACAAUUAUUGUGGACACCCUAUUUCUACGAGUUGUGGAAUGAAGCAUUGGAAACAGCUAUCCGUUAAAACUUAUAAAGAGACGUGUCUAUUUUUCUUUAAAAGUUCCAAAACCCAAAAAAAAAUGCACUCUUUUCAAAGACAUAUCAUUCUCGUGCAUUUCCUCCAUACUUGUGGUCCCAUACUUUGUAAAACUAACUUGUGCAAUUAUAGUCAUUCUAUAUGUAAUCUUGUUCAAUUAACUUUUUGCUAUCUUCAUUCGUAGUUCGAUACUAAAGGAAAAAGUUGUUAACUUCAUUCUUGUAGUCAAUCUCAUACUUUGAAUGAAAAAGUAACUCUUCGCUAUCUUUCCUUCUCAAAUAUUUUACAGCCUACCUUCGGAAGGAAAAACAAAACCUUAUUAUAAUGUACAAAGUCAAGUUGCACAUAUAUGAAAAUCAAUUGCAACAAUAAGCUCAAAAGAGAGGUCUUGUUAUGCCAAUGUGUGCUAAUAAACUCGACAACCCUCCUCACGCUUUCAACUACAAAUAACAUGUCUCUCUGGAUGGAAAAAUAUAUAAAGCACAUGCAUAUUUUUCCACACUAAAAGGUGUUGAAAAUGUAGCAAACCAAAGUUGCUUGUGAAGCUUUGUUAAUUGUAAAGACCCAAGAGGCCAGUAUUCGGACCAACUAAUUUUGUUGUUUUUAUCGUUAUUGCUUUUUGUUGUAUCACAUUUGUGCAUUUUAAUUACUUUAAGAUGAAGGAAUUUACAAAAAUGUCCUACAAGAAAUGGCCCAAAAAGAAGGUCUUAAGUUCACGUCAUAUGAGACAUCCCCAGCAAGUUCUCACAAGACUGGAUUUGUGUCAAUUGUUGUUGUGGUCGGAAAUGACACUUUCCAAGGAAUUGAAGCUAGAACUAAGUAGCAGGCAUAAGCAAAUGCUACUGAAGUGGGUUACAUUGAUCUUACUCGAGUAAGAAACUAAUUAUUUAUUGGGUUUUGAGUUCGCUCCGACGGCUAAGUCAACUAUCGAGUAAGAGCAAUGUAAGUCACUUUAACAGCAUUUGCUUCUGCCUGCUUCUUAGUUCUAGCUUCAAUUCCUUGGAAAGUGUCACUUCCAACCACAACAAUUGAAACAAAUCCAGUCUUGUGAGGACCUGCUGGGGAUGUCUCAGAUGACAGAGACUUAAGACCUCCUCUCUGGGUCAUUUCUUGUAGGACAUUUUUGUAUAUUCCUUCAUCCUAAAGUAAUUGAAAUGCACAAAUGUGAUACAACAAAAAAGCAGUAACGAUAAAAGCGUCAAAAUUAGUUGGUCCGUAUAUUGGCCUCUUGGGUCUCAACAAUUGACAAAGCUUCACAAGCAACUUUGGUUCCCUGCAUUUUCAACACCUUUCAGUGUGGGAAAAUAUGUUCGUGCUCUAUAUAUUUUUCCAUCCAGAGAGACACCUAACCUAUAGUGGAGAGCGUGAGGAGGGUCGUCGAGUUUAUAAGCAUACAUAAGCACAAUAUGACCUCUAUUUUCAGCAUAUUGUUGCAAUAGAUUUACGUAUAUGUGCAACUUGAGUUCGUACAUUAUGAUAUAAUUUUCUUUUUUCCUUCCGUAGAUAGACUGUAAAAUAUUUAAUGUAAAGUUGCAAAAAGCAACUUUUUCAUUCAAAGUUUUAAUUUUUAUAUGCUAAGCUUAAUUUUUCUUUCAAAAUCCAGUUAUAUCUUUGAAUGAAAAAGUAAGCUUAGCAUAUAAAAAUUAAAACUUUGAAUGAAAAAGUUGCUCUUUGCAACCUUACAUUCUCAAAUAUUUUAUAGUUUAUCUACGGAAGGAAAAAAGAAAACCUUAUCAUAAUGUACGAAGUGAAAUUGCACAUAUACAUAAAUCUAUUUCAAAAAUAUGCUUAAAAGAGAGGUCUUAUUGUGCUUGUGUAUGCUUAUAAAGUCGACGACCCUCCUCACACUCUCCACUACAAGUCAGGUGUCUCUUUGGAUGGAAAAAUAUAUAAAGCACGAACAUAUUUUUCCACACUAAAAGGUGAUGAAAAUGCAAGGAACCAAAGUUGCUUGUGAAGCUUUGUCAAUUGUUGAGACCCAAGAGGCCAGUAUUCGGACCAACUAAUUUUGAUGCUUUUAUCGUUAUUGCUUUUUUGGUGUAUCACAUUUGUGCAUUUUAAUUACUUUAGGAUGAAGGAAUAUACAAAAAUGUCCUACAAGAAAUGGCCCAAAAAGUAGGUCUUAAGUUCACAUCAUAUGAGACAUCCCCAACAAGUCCUCACAAGACUGGAUUUGUGUCAAUUGUUGUGGUUGGAAGUGACACUUUCCAAGGAAUUGAAGCCAGAACUAAGUAGCAGGCAGAAGCAAAUGCUGCUGAAGUGGCUUACAUUGGUCUUACUCGAGUAAGAAGCUAAUUAUUUAUUGGGUUUUGAGUUCGCUCCGACGGCUAAGUCAACUAUCGAGUAAGAGCAAUGUAAGUCACUUCAGCAGCAUCUGCUUCUGCCUGCUCGAGUAAGAAGCUAAUUAUUUAUUGGGUUUUGAGUUCGCUCCGACGGCUAAGUCAACUAUCGAGUAAGACCAAUGUAAGCCACUUCAGCAGCAUUUGCUUCUACCUGCUACUUAGUUCUGGCUUCAAUUCCUUGGAAAGUGUCACUUCCAACCACAACAAUUGACACAAAUCCAGUCUUGUGAGGACUUGUUGCUGUUGGGGAUGUCUCAUAUGACGUGAACUUAAGACCUACUUUUUGGGUCAUUUCUUGUAGGACAUUUUUGUAUAUUCCUUCAUCCUAAAGUAAUUAAAAUGCACAAAUGUGAUACACCAAAAAAGCAAUAACGAUAAAAGCAUCAAAAUUAGUUGGUCCGAAUACUGGCCUCUUGGGUCUCAACAAUUGACAAAGCUUCACAAGCAACUUUGGUUCGCUGCAUUUUCAACACCUUUUAGUGUGGAAAAAUAUGUUCGUUCUUUAUAUAUUUUUCCAUCCAAAGAGACACCUGACUUGUAGUGGAGAGCGUGAGGAGGGUCGUCGAGUUUAUAAGCAUACACAAGCACAAUAAGACCUCUCUUUUGAGCAUAUUGUUGUAACAGAUUUAAGUAUAUGUGCAACUUGACUUCGCACAUUAUGAUAUGUUUUUCUUUUUUCCUUCCAUAGAUAGACUGUAAAAUAUUUAAGAACUUAAAGUUGCAAAGAGCAACUUUUUCAUUCAAAGUAUGGGACUAAGAAUGAAGAUCCCAGCUCACCCCCAACUAUCGACGCGAUCGUCCGCCUGGUAUACCCCCGAAUCACCCUAAUUUUACUCUAUCGGGUCGAUAAUUGUUCUGGAAACCCUAUUUCUACGAGCAGUAGAAUGAAGCACUGGAAAUAGCUAUUCAUUAAAACUUAAAAAGAGACGUGUCUGUUUUCCUUUAAAAGCUCCAAAACCCAAAAAAAAAAAAUACACUCUAUCCAAAGACAUACCAUUCUCGUGCAUUUCCUCCAUACUUGUGGUCCCAUACUUUGUAAAACUAACUUAUUUAGUUAUAAUCAUUCUAUAUGUAAUCUUGUUCAAUUAACUUUUUGCUAUCUUCAUUCGUAGUUCGAUACUGAAGGAAAAAAAAGUUGCUAACUUCAUUCUUGUAGUCAAUCCCAUACUUUGAAUGAAAAAGUAAUUCUUUGCUACCUUUCCAUCUCAAAUAUUUUACAAUCUAUCUUCGAAAGGAAAAAAAUGCCUUCUCAUAAUGUACGAGGUCAAGUUGUACAUAUACGUAAAGCUGCUGCAACAAUAUGCUCAAAAGAGAGGUCUUAUUGUGCUUGUGUAUGCUUAUAAACUCGACAACCCUCCUCACGCUCUCCACUACAAGUUAGGUGUCUCUCUGGAUGGAAAAAUAUAUAAAGAACGAAUAUAUUUUUCCACAUUAAAAGGUGUUGAAAAUGCAGCGAACCAAAGUUGGUUGUGAAGCUUUGUUAAUUGUUGAGACCCAAGAGGCCAGUAUUUGGACCAACUAAUUUUGAUGCUUUUAUCGUUAUUGCUUUUUUGGUGUAUCACAUUUGUGCAUUUUAAUUACUUUAGGAUGAAGGAAUAUACAAAAAUGUCCUACAAGAAAUGGCCCAAAAAGUAGGUCUUAAGUUCACGUCAUAUGAGACAUCCCCAACAGGUCCUCACAAGACUGGAUUUAUGUCAAUUGUUGUGGUUGGAAGUGACACUUUCCAAGGAAUUGAAGCCAGAACUAAGUAGCAGGCAGAAGCAAAUGCUGUUGAAGUGGCUUACAUUGGUCUUACUUGAGUAAGAAGCUAAUUAUUUAUUGGGUUUUGAGUUCGCUCCGACGGCUAAGUCAACUAUCGAGUAAGAGCAAUGUAAGUCACUUCAGCAUCAUUUGCUUCUGCCUGCUUCUUAGUUCUGGCUUCAAUUCCUUAGAAAGUGUCACUUCCAACCACAACAAUCGAAACAAAUCCAAUCUUGUGAGGACUUGUUGGGGAUGUCUCAUAUGAUGUGAACUUAAGACCUACUUUUUGGGCCAUUUCUUGUACGACAUUUUUGUAUAUUCCUUCAUCCUAAAGUAAUUAAAAUGCACAAAUGUGAUACACCAAAAAAGCAAUAACGAUAAAAGCAUCAAAAUUAGUUGGUCCGAAUACUGGCCUCUUGGGUCUCAACAAUUGACAAAGCUUCACAAGCAACUUUGGUUCCUUGCAUUUUCAUCACCUUUUAGUGUGGAAAAAUAUGUUCGUGCUUUAUAUAUUUUUCCAUCCAAAGAGACACCUGACUUGUAGUGGAGAGUGUGAGGAGGGUCGUCGACUUUAUAAGCAUACACAAGCACAAUAAGACCUCUCUUUUAAGCAUAUUUUUGAAAUAGAUUUAUGUAUGUGCAAUUUCACUUCGUACAUUAUGAUAAGGUUUUCUUUUUUCCUUCCGUAGAUAAACUAUAAAAUAUUUGAGAAUGUAAGGUUGCAAAGAGCAACUUUUUCAUUCAAAGUUUUAAUUUUUAUAUGCUAAGCUUAAUUUUUCUUUCAAAAGCCAGUUAUAUCUUCGAAACUAUUAAUAGAACAAGUUUCUUGUAAUAGCUUCACUCUUACAAAUGCUCGUAAUCCUUCAAAGGGAUAAUCGAAUCAUAAGCUUUCCAAACAAAGAGACAGAUGCUCAGAGGUACACUAAAUCCUUUUGUCUUCCUUUUCAUUUUAUGUUAACAUCCAAGUUCAAGAAUUUCCGCAUAUCAUAACUCUUCAUGAAAAAAUUCUUCAUUUGAGUCGAUAAGCAUUUCAAUGCUCAGAAUUUUUCAAAUGCAGCUAAGAAAUUUCACAUAAAGUAGACAGUCUCCAAUUCACAUAAUAUAUUAUAAUACAAACCCUGAUAUCAUACACUAAAUUAUAGAUACACAAAGUUACCGCUACUAAUAUAAAUAGACGUUUAUAAAUGAGACAGUUGCAAAGCCACAUGAUGUCUUGGCCGCCACAAAAUUUUGGAAUUUCCUUUUUCUUUUUAUACUUUUCUCCAAAAUUUAAAUUUUAUUCCUCUCCUCUUUUUAACUGCGCAUAAAGUUUUCCUUAAGGGCACAAAUUUGAAAUCAUUAGUUAAAUUAUCAUUCUUAAUCUAGAGUUUGUUAAUUCCAUCAAAAUCUAACGUUUGUCGCUACUCAACUCGCCGAUGCCGAUGACAACCACAAAUGUUUAGCAACCUCUCAAGCCUCAACCCACAGUCACGCAGUUUUCAAAAAAAAAAAAAAAAAUUUACAACUUACUUUUUGACCACACAAUGGAAAACGUCUAGCUCUGCCAUUCAUUGUAGAAGAACCAGGUUCAUCAGUUUUGCUGUGUUGAAACUUGAACGAAGUUGGUUCCUCAAGAAUUUUAUAAAUUAUAAAAGAGGAUAAUUACAACAUAUUAAUUAUUAGAGUGUUGACUGUACUUCCAAACACAAGUAAAUGAUUGCAAGCGAGGAGCAAAACUAUUGGUAAACAAUAUUCUCAUCCAUGAACAUACCUGGAAGGCAAAUAUAACGUCAUAUGUGUGACCUCCAAAAUGACCAGGCUGCACAUGAGACCAACAAUACAAAGAAUCAGUGCUAGACUCUUCAGUGGCAAGAUUUUUAGUAAAUUUUCCAUUCUCCAUCGCUGUGAAAAAAAAAUAGCGUUGCCUGUCUAAAAAUUCUGCUACACAAUCACCAGUUAUAGGUGUAUAUAUGAUGUAAAUGCUUAUAUGAGGUCAAAAUCAAUAAAAUCGCCUGAACGCAACAGCUUCAAACUAUUACUCAAUUCGAGGAAAAAUGAUGUUUGCUGGAAAAAAAAAUGAAUAUAUAUAUGAUUACAUGUGAAUAAACCUAAUUUAAUAUCACACUCAAAAAAUGAAUUGUACACAGAAAAUACAAAAGCGAAGUUGGUAUAUAGAUAAUUUUCACUGGAUCCUAGAAUGCCAAAUUCAUUUUUAUUAUGAAAAUAAUAUAGAAGUUGAAUCAGCCUCAGGAAAAGGACCAUCAACUUGACAAUGGCAAGACAUCUGUUGGAUAGAAAAAUAAGGAAGAAGCUGUUUGUACUGUACAUGUACAGCCCCCUCACUGUGCUUUGGGGCCGAGCUGUGCACACAGCACAGCUCGAAAAAUAAUUUCUUGCUGAUUGAUGACAAGCCCAGAAAAUUUCUUGUUCUUAGUGGACUCUCUCCUAUUUAAAGCGCAGAAUUUUUCAGAAUAAUUUUACCCACCUACACAUGUUUGUAUAGCAACAAAAGAUGUAUCUGACAUGUACCAACUUGUUUCUUAAAAAAUGACUACCAUAUGAAGGAAGAGAGUAGGUAAUCGGAGCUAACCUGGUCUAACCUUAAUAGUCCCACCAUAAACCAUGAUACUCGGCCGGUUAAGUCGUCCCAUUGCCAUAAUGAUGCCUGGCAUCUACAAUAAUACGAGUAGUUUGCAACAUUUGAGGACCUUAACAGAAGUAACACCAUGACACAACUUUACCAAGGAAAUUUAUUGAAAUGAAGGAAAGGGAACACUAUUGACUAAAGAAACCAAAUUCGCUAAGGAAAGUAUUUCAUCAACUAAAAGAGGGGAUUGCGUGUACAUAUAUAUAAACUUCUUCAUAGAAAAAGAACAAGUGUGCAUUCCUUUCUGAGAAUCUUCAUCAGUUAAAAAUAGAAUUGCAGAAUACGGAAAUUUGAACAAUUUAAUGCGAAAUAGAAAUGCAUAAAAUUUCCAAGGAUGGCCCCUUCUCCUUCAUGUCUCCAGGUAAGAGUACUUUUGUGUAUAAACUGAAAUUCACAAGGGAAGCAACCAGCAAGGAUAUUGGUCGUCUCAUGUUUUAAAAUUAAAAUGGAAGCCUGAAAAUCCUUUUUUCACAGUGGUCAAACUCACCAAAGAACUCUAUCCAAGUUUAACUCUUCCACUGCAUUUCCAACAACUAACUCGCCUAUUUUUAUAGAUGAAAAAAUGUCCCAUGCACUACAUUCAGAAUUAGAGCUUCUUCUUUCUUUGAAAGCCAGACGGCGAAGAGUGUGACCAUCAAAAGCUACAAAUGCUCGUUACUAAUAGCCAUGUACGUCUACAUGAACAAUUAAAUACAGAUGCAGAAAUACACCCCAAAACAUUUAAAAAGCUCACAUAUUGUUACAAUAAAAAAAAAUAAUGCAAUUAACUGGCUGUUUAUUCUGAUAAUCACUUUGUGCUCAGGUACUUGAAGUAUUUAACGAAAAAGUAUCUAAAGAAGAACAAUGUGUGUGAUUGGCUGCAGGUGAUUGCUUUGAACAAGGAUAGAAAUGUUUUUGAAUUGAGGUACUUCAACAUUGCUGAGAAUGAGGCUGAGGAGGAAGAGUAAUGGAACUGGAAGAACAGUUAUUAUUCAUAUUUCCCGAGUUCAUUUUUGUUUUAGCUAGUGUUUACUGUGUUGGACAUCAGUUUCAAUUUUGUUUUCGGAAUCAAACGAUUUAGAUCUUAGAUAUAUAAUGGAGUUUAACUAUUAUUUCGGUAUUAAUAUGCUGUAAACUUCAUUUGCAAUGUUAUCUCGUGAAUGGUUUAUGAUUUACUCGUGGGGUUGCUUGGACGGGGCUGGAUCAGAUCGUGACUUGUCAUGGAUAUAGUAUUUCUUCAUUUAAGAGCAAUAUAAUAUAAAAUCUACCAUUCAGUGUAUGAAUUUGAGUACUUACCCAAUAUGGAAACUGAAAAUUGCAGGCCCUAUUGACCAGCUGCCAAAUCUGAAUUCCAGCUGACAAAGAGACACGUGAUCCACCACUUCAAUUCAAAUUUAAAUUUUUGGAAGAGUCAUCAACUAUAGAUACACAAUAGAUACAAAAUACUUCCAACCAUCAACAAAGAGAAUGAUACGUCCAGUAGUGGCUGAAAGCACCCAGAAACGACCAGCUGAACGGACUCAAAGACCACCAAUCUGCCAAAACCGUCAUUUGAACGAGCCACGAGCCACUCGGCUCAUGGCUCGUGGACAGUCACUUUUUCAGUGUCCGUUUAUUUUUAGUGACCCAAACGAUCACUGAAAUUCAGUGGUCGUUUCAGUCACUGAGCUUUUUUAUUUUAAUUGUUUUCCUCACUACACAUCUAUUAUAAAUAUCCCCCUAAUCUCCAUUUUUUUUUCAUAUCAAAACUCCAUUCUCACUUAUCAACUCUUAUAUCAAUUAUCAAGUUUUUACUCUCUCUUGUACUGUUGUGCAAAAUAUAUAAUAUUGACUCAUUUUUUAUAGUUUAUUCAGUUACAAUUUCAAUUCAUCCAAUUCUCAGUUCUCACUAUAUUUAUAUUUUUGCUAGUUAUUAUAUUUAGAUUUCAUCACAAACUACAAAACAAAUGGAUCAAUGCUCAUUUGUUGAGAGCUUGUUUGAUACAAGAUGUGGGCUACAUGGCAAAUCACCUAGGACGUUGCAAAAUCAAUUUUCGAAUGAAUUUGUCGGUCUAAAUGACGCACCCAUUCCUGAAGAUUUUCACGUUCAUGGUCAUGAAAGCCACAAUCCAAUUGAUUUUGAUGAUAUUAACGUUCUUAAAACAAAACAUGAAGAUGAAGAUGCCAAAUUAAACAUCCCAGAUGCGAGGGGAAAGCGAAAGGAAAAAAAUAAACAAAAUAUUGGGAUCACUUUAAGUUGAUUUUAACAGGAAAAGUCAUCGAUAACCUCGUAGAAUCUAAGGCAGUAUUUACAUACUGCCAACAAAGAUUGGAAUGACAAAAAGGAAUUAGUACCACCCAUCUCAACCGUCACUACAAAGCAUGUACGGCCAGAUAUGGACUUCUUUCAGCUCGUCAAACACAAUUGCAAUUUGACAGUCCAGGCGCCGGUUUUAUGACUUCAUCCCUAUCCACGUAAAUGUUUAGAAGACAAUACUCGAACUGAAAUGGUGAAAUUUGUUGCCGCCACUGAGUUGCCUCUGGCUAUUGACGAUAACCAACACUCUGUCUCGUUCGUGAAAAAAUAUCUGUAACCAAGGUACGUUGAGGUAAGUGGAAACACUCUUCGUGUCGAUACAAUAUAAUAUUUCAAUGAUUCAAAACAACUAUUAAUUAUGACUUUGUAAUAAUAUGUGGGAGUUAUAUCUUUAACUUCUGAUAUAUGGUAAGAGGUUAAUAAAAUAGCAUAUAUAGCUGCAACCGUACACUAUAUAGAUCCACUUUGGUGCAUGCAUAAAAAAUUACUGCUUUUAGAAUUAUUGAGUUUCCGCACAAUGCUAAUAAUAUAUAUAAUGCUAUUAUCAGUAUUGUUAGAAAAUAUAAUUGAGAGACUCAAAUUCGAUCUUUUACUUUCGAUAAUGCUAGUGUUAAUAAGGUAGUCGUCGAUAAAUUGUAUAGGGUACGUCAACCUGAUCUCGGUGAGUAUUUGUUUCAUAUUCGUUAUGUGUGCCAUAUUUUGAAUUUAAUUGUGUAAGAUGGCUUAAAAUAUAUAAAGGAUGAACUUCAAAGAAUUAGGAACGCAUUUCUAUAUAUAUAUUACGAUUUCUCCUAGUAGAAAAUAAGCAUUUGAAGAUUUUUGUGCCGAACUAAAGCUGACGACUGCUAAAACAUUUGUUAGCGACAUAGGUCAUAGAUGGAACUCUACUUACUUGCUACUAAAGUCAUGUGAAAGUUUCGAACAUUUAAUAACUGACUUUUAUAACAAUAGACACAUUAAAAGCGAUGGCGAUAGAAUGUUGAAUGAAUUCGAUUGGAUUUUAGCUUUGAACACAAAGAUUUUAUCUGACAUUUAUUAUUCCACAAGCUGUAUAGUUCUUGAACAUCUUUAUAUAAUUGCAAAAACAUUCCAUAAAUAUAAAAAUGAUCAUGAUUUUAGUGAAAUUAUAAUUGCGAUGAAAUUAAAGUUUAGAAAAUAUUGGAAAGAACUGCCUAUGUUAUUUCCUUUAACAUAGGCAAUGGGACCCCCAAUAUAAUAUAUUGGGAAAAUACGUAAUUGAUCAAAUCAAUAAAACCUUAAUACUUGAUACAACGAUCACCUAUAGGAAUUUAGAGCAAAUAUUAUGUGGAAUGUAUGAUUAAUAUACAGAACGGAUGGGUGGGAAUGUUAGUCGAGUAUCCUCUGUACCUACUUCUUCGGUUGAAAUUGAAGAUGGUGCCAAAAUAAUGAAUUUAUUUUAAGGCAUUAAUACGUUUAGAUAUGAUGCAACUGCAAUGUGUUCAUCUAGUGUCAUGUCGUCUACACUUGUAUCUCAUCAAACAUCGAUCGCAACUCAAAAUGUUAUGUCUGCCGAAUUAAUUGAUUACUUCAAUCAUUAUAUGCCAAUAGACAAAACAAUUAAAAAAAGUUCAGAAGAAGUAAUUGAAUUCUAGUGAAAGUAUGAAAGACGUUGGUCAAUUAUUUCUGCAAUUGUGAAAGAUCUACUGACACCUCCGGUUAGCACUAUUACUUCAGAGAUUGCUUUUAGUGCAAGUAAAAGGGUUUUGACCGAUAUGAGGAGCUGACUAAAAGAAGAUGUUAUGAAAGCGUUAAUGUACGUGAAGAAUUGGCAAGACGCUCAUUUUCGACUACAAGAUAAAUACUCUAAAAUUGCAUAUCGUCAGGUAAGUAAUAUUUGAUUUAAUUAUAUUAAUCAAAAAUUUUUAUUUUUUAAUCGUUAAAUUUAAUUUUCUUUAAAAAUUUGUACCCGUUAGAACAAGUUGUUUGUGUACAAUUUUUAACUCCGCCUACUUAAAAUUAAUAUAGUCGGUCUCAAGUUCGGAUAAAGGAGAAGGGUUUACAUUUUAUCUACUUUAAAAAAAAUCAAAAAAAUGUAUUUUUAAAAAAAUUCGUCUUCAUUACAUAAAUAUUUAAUAUUUUAUAGAAAAUAUUACAAUAUGAUAGAAAUUAAAAAAAAAAUGUCUUCAUUAAAUUAUUUUUAAAAAAAAUGCAUUAAAUUAUUUGUGUUUUUUUAACACUUUUUAUUAUUUUUUUUAAAAGUGUCUUCAUUAAAUUAUUUGUAUUUUUCAGUAUUUAUAAUUAUAAAAAAAAUAUGGACGAGCUCGCGAGCCAAAGCUUGGCUCGGCCCACGAGGCUCGACCCAUGAGCUCAUGGGCCUAGCCGAGCUUGCCCAAAAUGAAUGAGCCAAGCUUGAGCUCAGCUCGUUCAAAAUGAGCCACGAGCUCGUGAGUUUACGGGCCGAGCCCCUACUCACUAGGCUUGAAAGCACCUCUCUGUUGACUGUCUAUUUUUCAUUUGUAUAAAUUCUGCCCUGGAUCAUUUUUGCUGCUCUGAAUUCGCAGACUUGUAGUUUAUUUGUAGUUUCCAUUUCUAGCUUUCUGAUUCCCCUGCUGACCCAACCUAAUCCCCUUCUUUUGUGCUUGUUUGGCCUGGACUUUUUGGGUUUUACGUGGGCUAACUAGCCCAACUUUCUCUCUUGCUGGGCCAUUUCAUGCUCUGUCUUUGUGUGGGCAAGAAAAAAUCUGGUGCCAGCCCAUUAUAUUAAACCUCGGGCAGUUAGGAAGUCGGAUUUUGGAGGAUGUGGUGACGUAUCUUUGAAGAUCAAUUUGGAUGAGAGUAAAAAAGGAAAAUUUAUCCUCACCUAGUGUAUCAUUAAUGCUUGGGGAAGAGGAUACAGAAUUUGAAAAUUCUGAUUUUGAGUUACAAACGACGGAAUUGAAGAACCAACAAAAGAAAAUGUUGCUAGGAUUGAUGUUGAAAAAAAAUGUUAAAGCGCCAUGGGUAAACCUCUUCAAGGACAAUAGGAAAGUGAAGGAAAAUAUUUAGUUAAAGCCCUUCGAAAAUCAAUUGGAAGAAGUGGUUUUGGGCAAAUCGGAUGAAGACAAUAUUGAGAGCACUUGGGGAUAUGGUCUUGUUGGGUAUUUUGCCGAUAGAUUUCCAGGAAAAGCAGCCUUACUCCAAUUAUGUGAUUCCUGGAAGGUUAAUUACAAAUAUUAUGUACACUCGAGCGGAUGGUUGGUUUUCAAAUUUGAGACGGAUUUGGAAAGACUAAGUGUGUUGCAUGGUGGUCCCUACUUGGUAUAUGGGAGGCCAUUAAUGUUAAAAGUCAUACCCCGUUACUUUUAUUUUGAUGACAAAGACGUUAGCACUAUGUCGGUUUGGAUAAACUUACUGGGGUUGCCAUUGAAGUUUUGGAACACGAGUGCCUUGGAUAAAAUUGUCUCCAAGGUUGAUAAGCCCAUCUCGACCAAUAAGGUCACGGUAACUAGAGGGAGAUUAUCAUAUGCAAGAGCACUAGCUGAAGUUGAUGCAUCUAUUGAGCUUGUGCGGGUGGUGAAGAAAAGGCUUCCAAAUGGCACUUUGAGGGAGCAAGAAAUCUUGUUCGAACAUGAGCCAAAGUUUUGUGGUUCUUGUAAAGUGUUUGGACACUCUACUCUUGGUUGCAACCACAACAAACAAGCAAUAGAUGACAAAGGAAACACCAAAAAUGGCAAGGCAUUAAAUCCUCUCAUGCCGACGGUAGAAGAGAGAAUGUACAGGUUGGACAGAUUCAUGCAAUUUCAAAUUUGCAGCAAUUUACAGCUAAGACAGCAACACAAUCUCAAGUUAAUUCAGCUAGAAAUGAGGGACAACAGGCUAUGGACAUGGAUGACCAGAAGGGGCAGCCUUCGAAUUAAAAUUGUACACAGCUACAUUCGGAUGUUGUGGAUGACCAGUAGGGGCAGAUUCUGGACCAGGUGGAUGCUCCAUUCAUUGAAGUAGUUAACAGGAAAAUGGAGCUGGUCGUGGAAAAAAAAUCAGUAAGUAUUGCAUCAUCUCAAGUGCCGACAAAUGAUAGUUGUCAAAUGGAGAUUUCUGGGGCAGAUUCUACGUCCAAAGUGAGAGAGGCGGCCUCCAAACAUGCAUGCAAUGAAAAGCUCAAAGGGAAGAUUGAUGAGACAAGAAAAGCUGGGACUAAAGUUGACAAAAAGAAGGGUUCCUUCCUUGCUUCAACAUCAUGAAGAUCGCAUCGUAGAAUAUUAGGGGUUUGAAUCUCCCCCAAACAAAAUGAGAUCCUGGAGUUCAUCAAGCUACAUUGCAUUGAUGUUAUGGGUAUUUUGGAGAUGAAGCUUAGAGAAACUAAGUUGAAUCGAGUUAUGCGGAAAAAUUUUGAUGGCUUUAUGCAAGUCAAUAAUUUUUGUACUCAUAGAGCCGGGCGGAUUUUGAUCUUGUGGAAUCCAUCCAAAGUUAAUUUGGAAGUUUUGGAGACUACUCUGCUAAUCAUUCAUUGUAUCGCUACUUGUAAGGUAACGCCUUAUACCUUUCUUGUUAGCUUUGUUUAUGCUUUUCAUACAAUUGUUAGCCAAAGGCCGCUUUGGAACAACAUCAUGGAUUUCAAUGUAAAUGUUUCAUUGCCUUGGAUGAUUCUUGGUGAUUUUAACAACGUACUCAAGUUUGAUGAGAAAAGUAACGGUACGAAGGUAACCCCCUAUGAAAUUAAAGAUUUUGCUAAUUGUUGUCUUCAUGUUGAUUUUGCGGAUGUGCACUCUAUUGGUUGUCUUUACACAUGGACUAAUAAUUCGGUGUGGAGCAAAAUUGAUAGGGCUAUGGUGAAUGACAUUUGGGUGCAAAAUGGUACAUAUGGAUUUGCUGAUUUUUUACCUUCAGAGUGCCUUUCCAACCAUUCUCCAUGUAUUGUGACUGUUCAUGACCGUGAGGUGAACACCAGGAAAUCAUUCAAAAUCUACAACAUGUGGACAAGUCAUGAAGAUUUCCAUGGACUUGUUCAAGUAAGCUGAAUUUUGAUGUGGUGGGGACAAAGCAAUUUGUUCUUUGUAAGAAGUUGCAUAAGUUAAAAUGAGCAUUGAAGGAGCUAAAUGUUAAGCACUUUGGGCACAUUUCUACUUGGGCAAAUGAGGCUAAAAGAGAAUUGGAGGCUGCCCAACUCAUGCUUCAUGAUCAGCCCACAAACAAGCAUAAUCAACUUAUGGUGGCAAGUUUGAGAAAGAAAGUCAUGGGAUAUGUGAAGUGGAACGUACCUUUUAUUAUCAACAAGCAAAGUGCAUUUUCCUUAAACAAAGUGACAAGUGUACAAAAUUCUUCCACACGGUAGUGAAAAGGAACACAAGGAGAAACUUUAUUGCUACUAUGCUCAAAGAGGAUAGGAUGUAUACUACUUCACAAGAACAAGUUGCUCGGGAAUUUGUCCAACUUUACACCAACUUACUUGGUAAAAGUGAGCCGGUUCGGCCUAUUGAGCUGGACAUUAUUAGCAAUGGACCUUUGAUAUCUUUGGAACAAGGCAACUCAUUGAUCUAGGAAAUUUCUAAUGAUGAGAUCAAAAGAAGCACUCUUUGGUAUUGGAGAUAAUAAAUCUUCCAGGACGGAUGGUUACACUUUAUGUUUAUUUAAAAAAGCAUGGGGGACUAUUUAACAUGAUUUUGUGGAGGAUAUCAUGGAAUUCUUCUAAUUGGGAUCCAUCCUCAAACAAAUCAACCACACGGUCAUUGCUUUGGUGCCAAAGUCAAGUCACGCACCUAGCAUUGUAGAUUAUAGGCUUAUAUCUUGUUGUAAUGUUAUCUACAAAAUGAUUAUUAACAUCCUCACUUCUAGAUUGAGGCCUAUCUUGGAGAAUAUUGUGGACCAUGCACAAGCCACUUUUGUUGAAGGUAGGAUUAUGAUGGAAAACAUCUAUCUUGCCCAAGAACUCAUGAGAAAAUAUAAUAAAAAAGGGUUGCUCUAAGAUGCCUCCUAAAUAUUGAUCUAAGGAAAGCUUAUGAUUCGAUAAGUUGGGAUUUCCCAAAAGGUGUUUUUGAAGGGUUGCACUUCCCUUUGAGAUUUAUACAAUGGGUUAUGGAAUGUAUUACUUCUCCAACAUAUUCCAUAGCUUUGAACGGAAGUUUACAUGGUUUCUUCAAAAGAGUGAAAGGCUUCCAGCAAGGUGAUCCUCUAUCCCCAGUUUUGUUCGUGCUUUGUACUGAAUAUUUUUCAAGAAUGUUUAGGGCUGUCACGAAUGAUAGUGAAUUCAAUUAUCAUCCUAAUUGUGGCCCCUUAAAGAUCACUCACUUAGCUUUUGCGAAUGAUUUGAUGCUCUUUGCAAGGGGAUAUUUUUAGUCGGUACAAAUCUAAUGGAUUACCUUUCCAACUAUGGUCUUGUAUCGGGUUUAAGGAUGAAGAUCCUAAAAUCCAACUUGUAUACAACUAGUAUUCGAAGGCAAGAGCUUGAUGAUAUACUUGAACUCACAAAUUUCCCGAAGGUUACUAUGUCGUUCCAUUAUUUGGGCAUCCAUCUUGUCCUAAAGUUAGUUGUUAUGCUCAAUUUCUUGAAAAAAAAAAUACAGCUUAUAUUGAUGCUUGGAAUUGCUCCUCUCUAUCUUAUGUGGGCAAGGUGGAACUUAUUAGGGCGGUCCUUCAAGGUGCUGAAUGUUUUUGGCUUUCCAUCUUCCUUAUUCCGACUGCAAUUAUCUCAAGAAUUGUUAGCCUUUGUCGAAAAUUUCUUUGGGGCUCCAAGAAGCCUUUGGUGGUGUGGAAGGAUGUUUGCCUUCCAAAAGAUGAAGGGGGUCUUGGGUUGAAGGACUUGAAGAGUUGGAACUUAGCUUUACUCACUAAAUCCCUUUGGAAUAUUCAACAUAAAAAGGACACUCUCCCCUCUUCAAAAAACUGCUAGAUUUCAUGGAUAUGUUGCUAAAAACUGUUCCUGCUCCCCAGAUUUGUGAACAAGGACAGCCCAUGCUAUCCAUUUAGAUGGUGGGAGGAAACAACCUGAUUAUAUCUGCUGGAAUAACCUCAAGUCAGUGUGUUGUGUUUCCACAGAACAGUGAGUGUUUUCAGGCAAUUCUGGAUAGAUUUAAGGCCUGGUCAACUGGUGAAAAAUUAUGCACAAAAAUGACCUAUGAUUACUUCCGGUCGAGAAGUACAAAGAGGAUUCGAUCUGCUGAUGCUUGGAGAUCUUGCAUAACAUCGAAGCACUCAUUUUUGCUUUGGUUAGCGGUUCAAUCUAAACUCCUAACUAAAGACAAAUUUCAAUAUUUGGAUAUCGAUUGUAAUUGUGUUCUUUGUGGGCAUAUGGCGGAAACAAACCGUUACUCAUUUUUUGAAUGUUCUUUCACAUCUUCCUUAUAAGGGAACAUUAGACAGUGGCUCAUCAGAAGAUCCAUGUCAACAUUUGCUAGUACUUUAAAGUGAAUGAAAAAAAAGGCCCGUGGGACAUCAAGUCUCAGCAAGGUUAAGAGGAUUGCACUUGCAAGUACCAUCUACUACAUUUGGUUAGCGUGUAACAUGAAGAUUUUUUAAGACCUUUCACCUCACUUGGAUUAUAUUGUGAGAGGGAUCGAGACACAUGUAUAUAAAGUUAUGUUCUCUUUGUAUUUGGAUGUCUUGAUCCAUUUCGAGUCCUUAGUGUUGGGUAUGCCCGGAGUAAUUGUACGUAACAUUGGCUUUUUUUGUCCGAGUAUGCACGGUGUACUUGUAUAUGAAAUUUUGAUCAAUGAAAUUUACAUUUACCAGUAAAAAAAGAUUCUUUUUUAAUUUUGGUAAGUACGGUGCCAGGGUCUUCCUCAUUUUUGUCAAUAAAAGCAUCAACAGUGGAGAUCCAAGCUCACCCCCAACCACUGAGGCGAUCGUCCGCCUAGUAUACACCUGAAUUGCCAUAAUUCUACUUUAUGGGAUCGACAAUUAUUGUUGCAACCCGCUUCUAGGAGCAAUGGAAUGAAGCAUUGGAAACUACUAUCCUUUAAAACUCAUAAAGAGACGUGUCCGUUUUCCUUUAAAAACUCAACAACCAAAAAAUAUUUUAUGCACUCUGUCUAAGGACAUACCAUUCUUGUGGAUUUCCUCAAUACUUGUGGUCCUAUACUUUGUAAGAUUAACAUAUUCAAUUAGAGUCAUGUUAUACGUAGUCUUGUUCAAUUUACUUUUUGUAACCUUCAUUCGUAGUCCCAUACUGAAGGAAAAAGUUGCUAAUUUUAUUCUUGUAGUCAAUCUCAUACUUUAAAUGAAAAAGUAACUCUUUGCUACAUUUCCUUCUCAUAUAUUUGACAAUCUAUCUUCUGAAGGAAAAAAGAAAACAUUAUCAUAAUGUAAGAAGUCAAGUUGCACAUAUAUAAAAAUUUGUUGCAACAAUAUGCUCAAAAGAGAGGUCUUAUUAUGCCUAUGUAUACUCGUAAACUCGACGGCUCUACUCAUGCUCUCCGCUACAAGUCACGUGUCUCUCUGGAUGGAAAAAUAUAUAAAGUAUGAGCAUAUUUUUCCACACUAAAAGAUGUUGAAAAUUGACGCCGGGUAAGAUAGUGAUUAUCCUAUUGGCUUGUUGUAGCAGAUGAUUCGCAAGAAAGAAACGAAAGAAAAAUGCCCAAAAAACCAGAGAAAAUACUCUAAAAUCAACUCAAUAUUAUUAAUAAUGCAGAAUAACCAAAAUUAACCCACAAGCCGGGUUAAAUAACUACAAAAUACGAAAUUAUAGGAAAAUUACCAAAAAUGGCAAAAUCUUGAAAUUACACCAGAAUAAAAUAUUAAGUAAAAGAAGUAGGUUGCCAAAAAUUUGGCUCAAUUCAAGUUUUCUAACAUAUGGAAAAGGGGAAACAAAAUAUUACCAUAAAUAGCAAAAAAUAACUAAAAAUUAAAUUUCAAAAAAAAAAUAGCAGAUUUUGGGCUCAAAAUUGAUGCCUAGCUCGGUGGUCAAAAUGUGCAUGUCAAAGAGAGCUUUCCGAAUUGGGGUCAUAAUAGCGAUUCUAAUAACCUAGCCAAAAUUAUGGUCAAAUUUCAACAAAGACGCGUCCAAUUCCCCCAAUCAAGGAAAUAAUUACGAUUCACUUUCCAUCUUUGCGCCGAUCCGUCAUCUCAUGGUAUCUCAGCGCCAUCAUCGUGUUAUCUGACAAAUCAGCAUCACUCGACUUGGAUCCUCCUAUAUCAGUCACCCCGGGUUGGAAAGAACUCGCCCUCAAGUUCACAGUAGUUUCAUCGAACUCCACAAAACAAAGGCUUAGGUGUUUCACAGUGAAGACAUCAGAGGUCUUCAAAUGGCUAGGGAGGCGCAACCUGUAAGCAUUAUCAUUGAUCUUCUACAGCACUUCACAAGGUCCAAUCUUCCGCACCUUUAGCUUAUUGUACUUCCCAGCUGGAAAACGAUUACGAGUUAAUACUGCCCAAACAAAAUCACCAAUAUCAAACAACACCUGGCGUCGAUGACUAUCUACCUGAGCCUUGUACUUAGUAUUACUAUCCUGUAUGGACAGCUUCACCUGCUCAUGGACACCCCGAAGAUGCUCAGUCAUCUCAUCAGCUUUGUUAUUAAAGCGACCUACAUGUGGAAUUGGAGCCAAAUCAAGUACCCCGGAUGAGUUCCGACCAUAGACAAUUUCAAAAGGACUCAAUCCGGUGGUUCCAUUCCUCGACCGGUUAUAAGCAAACUCUGGUUGAGGUAAUGCCAAAUCCCACUGCUUCGAUUUAGUCCCUGCCAAGCUUCUCAAAAGAUUUCCCAAACUCCAAUUCACCACCUCGUCUGACCAUCUGUUUGGGGAUGGUAUGCGCUGCUAAAAUUCAACUUCGUUCCAAGUUUCUCCCAUAAACUCCUCCAGAAAUGACUCAUAAACUUAGUGUCACAGUCAGAAGUAAUGGACUAUGGAAUACCAUGUAAAUGCACAAUCUCUCUGAAAUAAAGAUGAGCAAUCUGAGUAGCAUCCAUUGACUUCCAGCAAGCCACAAAAUGAGCCAUCUUUGAAAAUCUAUCAACCACAACAAGAAUGGAAUCCAUCGCCCGCUGUGAACGAGGUAAGCCCGCUGUGAACGAGGUAUGCCCAAGUCAAAAUCCAUGCUGAUAUCAAACCAAGGAGCUUCAGGUACGGGUAACGGUGUGUACAAUCCAGCAUUAGUAAGAGCUCCUUUAGACCGCUGACAUACAUAACACUGCUCCACAUAAAGCGCCACAUCACUGCUCAACUUGGGCCAGUAAUAAUCAGAAGAGACCAAUGCCAAUGUCUUGUCUCGUCCAAAAUGUCCUUUGUUAUGAAGUUCACUAAUAAUCUGCUGCCUUAGUGAACAAUUCGGAAUGCAUAACUGCAAUCCACGAAACAGGUAACCAUUAUGUAAAAUAAAAUCAUGUCGGUGAUUAUUAGUUACCUCCCGAAUUAUCUUCCCAAAUGAAGGAUCUGCAGCAUACAUAUCAGGAAAUGCCUCAAAUUCGACAAUCUUGGUGCUCAUGGUGGUGAGGAGUAAUGUGCGACGGCUCAAUACAUCUGCUACUCGAUUCAAACUUCUUGCUUGAUGCCUUAGUGUGAAAGUAAACUCCUGCAAGUACGCCACCCAUUUGCAUGUUGCCUACUCAGCUUGUACUGACCAUUGAUGUACUUCAAGGCCUCAUGAUCAGUAACAAGGAUGAACUCCCUCUGUACCAGAUAAUGACGCCAAUGCUUCAGGGUCUGAACUAUAGCAUAGAACUCCAAGUCAUAAGUGGAAUAAUUUUUCUUCGAUCCCGAUAGCUUCUCACUGAAAAAGGCUACUGGACACCCCUCCUGACUCAGAACACCACCAAUACCAACUCUAGACCCAUCACAAUUUACCUCAAACACCUUCUCAAAGUCCAAAAGUGCCAAGACUGGGGCCUCUGUCAUCUUCUGCUUAACCAACUGAAAGCUAGCCUCUACCUCCUCGGUCCAUUAAAAAUCAUGCCCUUUAAGGCACUUUGUGAUAGGAACAAUCAAGGUACUAAAGUUUCUGAUAAACCGACGAUAGAAGGAUGCCAAUCCAUGGAAACUUGACAUCGUGCAAAGUUUUUGGCUUGGGCCAAUACAAAACUCCCUCAAUUUUGGAUUGAUCUGCAUGAACACCAUCAGUAGAUACAACAAAACCCAAAAAAGUUACAGAAGUUGUGAAGAAAGAAUACUUAUUCUGAUUGAUGAAUAAGUGUUCAGUCCUCAUUACAUCAAAGACAGCACGAAGAUGAUUAAAAUGUGACUCCCAUGUCGGACUAUAAAUAAGUAUGUCGUCAAAAUAGACUACCACAAAUUUCCCCAUGAAAGGCUGUAAAACCUGAUGCAUAAACCUCAUAAAAGUGUUAGGUGUGUUGGAUAGUCCAAAGGGCAUGACCAUCCACUCGUACAAUCCAUGUUAUGUCUUGAACACGGUCUUCCACUCAUCUCCAGGCCUGAUUCUGAUCUGGUGGUACCCGCUUUUAAGGUCAAUUUUUGAGAAGACCUUAGAACCGGACAAUUGAUCUAACAUGUCGUCCAAGCGGGGAAUUGGAAACCUAUACUUCACUGUAAUCCUAUUAAUUGCCCUGUUGUCAACACACAUACGCCACGACUCAUCUUUCUUCGACACUAGUAGAGCAGGAACUACACAAGGACUCAUACUCUCACGAAUGUAGCCCCUUUCCAAUAAUUCUACCACCUGUCGCUGCAACUCUUCAGCUUUCUUGGGACUGAGGUGAUAUGCUGGUCGGUUUGGUAGACUCAACCCCAGAAUAAGGUCGAUCUAAUGUUGAAUUUCCCUCGUAGGUGGUAAUCCUGGAGGAAGAUCCUCCGACAUCAAGUCAGAAAACUCCAUCAGUAGUUGCUGCACUUCUGCUGGUAAUUCCGAAUCCACAUUCGCUGCACUAUUUUCACAAGGCAUUAAAGCAUAAACUAUUUUUUCACGCCCAACCUCAACCAAGAACCUGGAUAUAAAAAGUAGAUUGAUAUUACUAACUACCGGGGUAGGGAUGUUUUCUCCCCUGCGAGGCGCCAAAACAAUUUUCUUCCCUUUGAUGCUAAGAGAAUAAGUAUUCUUCCGUCCAUCAUGAAUAACGCUGCGAUCAUACUGCCAAGGUCAUCCCAACAAAACAUGACACGCGUCUAUUGAUACCACAUCACACUAGGCAUUAUCAAAAUAUUUUUUUCCAAUCGAAAAAGACACCAAGCACCGUUUUUCUACCGUUACCUCACUGCCUUUAUUCAACCAAGACAAUUUGUAUGGUUUGGGAUGACGAUCCAUCUUCAGUUGCAGUUUCUCAAUAGCCUCCUCAGACACUACAUUCUCACAACUACCACUAUCAAUUAUCAGCUUGCAGACUCUAUCAGCAACCGCGCAGGUUGUGUAGAAAAUGUUGGUCCUCAACCAAUCAUCCCCUGAAUCGCCCUUGGGAGUCAGCAGGCUCUUUCAAACGACCAGGGUCUCCUAGCCAUCUCCAUAUAGCACGUCCUCAUCUUCACCAUCAUCAUACACAGGCUCCCCAACUUCCUCGAACUCUUCUAUCAUAUCCUCCUCAAUCAGAAGAUUUUUAUUCUUCUGACCAGCAAGCUUCUGCAAUCAGUAGCUCUAUGCCCCUAUUCACCACACCUGAAACACUUAAUACUUGAGAGCUGGAAUUGUCCCGCUGUGGCUGAUAAGCAGGACGAGAUUCUUGAGGGCGAACUGGCUGACUACCUUCACCUCUGACCACUGGCCUCCUACUCUGCUAUUUCUCCACUGCAAGUGCCUGCUGAUAUGCCUCAGAAACCAUCCACAAUGAAUGAAGGUUGAGAACAUCCUGUAGGGACUGCCUUAAUCCCCCCUCCCCAAAUACCGUGCUACCAUCUGCUCCUCCGUCUCAAAUAAAUCAUUUCGAGCCACCAGCUGAUAGAAUUCCUCAGUAUAAUCAUUGACUGAUCUCACGCUUUGCCUCAGUGAAUGAAGCCUCUGAAACAAAGUUUAAGUAUAGCCGAAAUGGAGGAAGUGCCCUUUCAUCUUCUUCCAGUCAGUAAUUUUGGAUUUUCCCUGUCGCUCCCGUGAACGCUUCAACUGUUCCCAGCAUACAGAUGCUCUACCUUUGAGUUUGAUGGUGACCAGUUUCACUUUGACACGAUCUGGAACCUCCUUAUAUUCAAAAAUCCGCUCCACUUCAUUCAGCCAAUCAAUAAAUCCUUCAACCUGCAACGUACCAAAAAACUCAGGCAUAUCCACUCUGAAACUGAGAUCCACAUGACGAUCCUCCCAUCAACGAUGCUCCCAAACUCGAGCAUGAUGGUGAUACGGGUUUUUGAAACUGGUAUUGAAAUCAUGACCCUCCACAUCAGAACUCCUGCUCCGCCAAACGUUAGGUUAACUACGCAACUUGUCUCUGCAAAUCUUCAGUCGUCACGUCCUGAAUAUUACGAUCACGGUGUGGGACUUUCUCAAUCGAAACUUGCCCUCGACGACCACGACCAUGUCCACCAACCACUAUAACCGAUGGAAUUUAUCUCCCAAGAAGAUGCUGGUACUCUGAUACCAACUGACGCCGGGUAGAUAGUGAUUAUCAUAUUGACUUGUUGUAGUAAAUGAUUCGCAAGAAAGAAACGAAAGAAAAAGGCCCAAAAAACAAGAGAAAAUACUUUGAAAUCAACUCAAUAUUAUUAAUAAUGGAGAACGACCAAAAUUAACCCACAAGCUGGGUUAAAUAGCUGCAAAAUACAAAAUUAUUGAAAAAUUAUCAAAAAUGGAAAAAUCUCGAAAUUACACCAGAAUAAAUUAUUAAGUAAAAGAAGUAGAUUGCCAAAAAAUUGGCUCAAUUUGAGUUUUCUAACAUAUGAAAAAAGGAAAACGAAAUAUUACCAUAAAUAGCAAAAAAUAACUAAAAAUUGAAUUUCGAAAAGGAAAAAAGCAGAUUUUGGGCUCGAAAUUGAUGUAUGCUCGGUGGCCACAACGUGCGCGCCGAAGAGAGCUUUCCGGAUUGGGGUCAUAAUAACGAUUCUGAUAAUCGUAGCCAAAGUUAUGGUCAAAUUACCAAAAAGGUGUCUAAUUCCCCCAAUCAAGAAAAUAAUUGCGAUUCACUUUCCAUCUUUGUGCCGAUCUGCCAUCUCAUGGUAUCUCAGCGCUAUCAUCGUGUUAUCUGACAAAUUAGCAUCACUCGACUCAGAUCCUCCUGCAUCAAAAAUGCAGUAGCCAAAGUUGCUUAUGAAGCUUUAUCAUUAAUAAUAUUACACGCAAAUCCAAAAUAUUUCUUAAUUUUUUAAUUACACAUUUUUCAUCAAUACACUAUUCAGAAAUAUAUUUUUUUGGCAAGAAUGUGGCUCAAACAAGGGCUUAAUCUUUUAGUACAAAGUUAAAAUUAUAUAAGAAUAACUUGUUAUGUAUACAAACUUUUUAAAAAUCAAGAUAUUAUUAAGAAAAUGACAAAAUUCGAUUAUAUGGUGACAUUAAUUAUAAUUUAGCUGACUAUACGCGAUUUCAGUAUAAUUAUGUUGUAUUCAAAAAUGAAUAUCUUGUCAAUCAUUUACGCACAUUAGGACUUCCAAAAUAUCUUCUUUAAGUUUGUUCCUGACCUUGGACAUAAUUUGUUUACCUGCACUAAAAAACAGACUCUGAACUGUAGUGUUAGUAGGAGAUGUUAGUAGAUCUUUUGCAAUCGUAGAAAUAAAAGGGUAUUUUUUGUAUUAGUUAAAAACAGACUCCGAAACUAUAGUGUUAGUAGGAGAUGUUAGUAGAUCUUUUGCAAUCGUAGAAAUAAAAGGGUAUUUUUGUUAGUUCUUUUGCAAAAAACAAGUAAAUCAAAUUGUACUGCAUCAAUAGGUUCUAAGUUACAAAGCAUUUGAUGGUUAAAACAUCUAUGUAAUUCAGCGGAUAUUCAAUUGGACUUAUGCCGAUGUUUGAUUAUAUAAAGGAAUUAGAAGAAUCUCAUGCAUCAAAUUUUUCAUCCUUCAAAUAAACUCACUAUUUCUGCGUCGUCUUGUCAUAUUUUACUAGGGAUAGAAAUUGGGCUUGUCAAUUCGAGCCACCCGUGGUUUGGCUCGAAAAAAGCCCGAACGAACCUAACUCGAAGUUCGAAAGAACCGAGUCGAGGCUCGAGCCAAGCCCCAUUUUAGGGCACAAGCCGAACCCGAGCUGGCCCGUGUGGAUCAUCUAGCCGGCUAGUAAAAUUAAAAAAAAAAACGAAAAAGACUUAAAAAGGCAGUUUUGUAGCUGCCUUUAAAAAGACAGCACACUUGUGCUGCUUUCCUAUGUAUUAUAAAAGAAAAAAAUUGAACAGGCUCGAACUCGGCAAGGCCCUUGUUGAAAGAUCGGGUCAAGUCUCGAUUUUUUGGUCAAGUUUUUGUUUGGCUCGGUUCGGGAAAAAAUGUCCAACUUAAUUUUACUCGAGCCAAACUCGAGCCUGGCAUUUCAGCUUGCGACUCGUUAACAUCCUAUAUUUUACUGACUAGUUUGACCAAAUAAAAAAUUUAAAAUGAUUAAAGUAAUAGUAAAAAAAAAAUUAUUUAUUCAAAGGGGCCAAAGAUCAAGUUCCAAAACCUCCCACGUAAAUUUCACACUUUUCACCAAUCAAACAUCUUAUCUAAUUUUAUUAUUUUUUUCAAAAAUAAUAUAUUUGAUAUGGAUAUCUAGCAAUCCCCUAUAUGAAAGAAAUAAAAUAAAAAUAAAUAUCAUUCUGGAGUGUAAAAGAAUUUCUGCAAGUUUAGGUAUCUUCCGAUUUGAACAUUGAUUUAUUAUAUUAUAUAUAUAAAGUUUGCCAACACAAUGUCUUAACCUCCACGUUAUGGCUGCAAAGUGAGACAAUAGUAUAUACGCAUGACUUCUAAGAUAAUCAUUGAAUUCUCGAGACUUUGUUCAUUUCGACCAUGAACUUUCCAAAUUUAUUUGAAUACUCUAGAGAAUCACUCUUAAUUCUCAUAGGAAGUAGCUCCUACGUCCUCACUCCAACAUUUAUUUUCUAUCGAGAGAGCACAGUAUCUAAGCACCCAAGGUCCAAUCAUAGACUAUAUAGUAUUCGUGUGGAAUGUGAUUCAAACCACCAAUUUUAUCUUGUUUUGGUUGGCACCGUUUUUAUGAAGUUGAAAAAAUCAGUGCUUGUUAGGGCUUGGGCAUCGUGUGAAUGAUUUAAAAGCCACCCAAAGUCGAUGUAAUAUAAAUUUGAUCAUUUCUAUCAAUCCACUUGUUUCUCAUAUUCUCUUCUAAUUUUACGUUUUAUAAAAUAAUUAUUUUCAAAAAUUAUUUUGUUCAAAUUAUCUUGGAAAUAAAAAUAAGUUAACUAAAAAAUUUAUUUAUAAGCAAAUUAAUUAUUUUAUAAUUAAAAAAUUUAUUUAUAAGUCAAGAGUCAAUUUUAAGAUUAAAAUCACUUUUGUUUCUCACGUUUGUCUUAAAAAUAAAAAUCUACUAAUAAGACAAAAAAUCAUUAUAAAAUAUAAAAUUUAUUCACUUGUGUAAAAAUUUUAGAAAAGUACAAAUUUAACUUAUAAUUGCUUAUAUAUAAAAAAUAAUAACUAAAAAAUUAUAAGCAAAAUAUCACUUAUGAGUAAAAAAUUUCACACCAGAAAUUAUAAAUUGAAAAUUUAACUAAGGAGCAUAUAUAUAAUUUUACUUGUAAAAGAAUUUCAAAAUCAAUAAAUAAUAAACUCUCAAGCUUUAGUUUGACUGUUUUAAAAAUAACCAUUAAAAUCAUUAGAAUUGGUUCGUUCGUAAACACAAAAAAUCAAUACUUUAGAAAACCCAAGAAUUUGGUGUUUCCCAUUGCAUUGCUGAAGGUUUCUCCCAUUAAUGAUUUAUCAAUCACCGAAUCUUCAUUCUCCAAAAUAUAAAUUUCAAAAUAUAAAUUACUCAAACAACUCUGGGAAAAUCUUAUGUAAUUGACCUCGACUUCCAUGGAUGGAUAUUAAAACAACCUGAGUUUUGGCCGGAAAAUGAAAAUAUAUAUUGUCAUGGAAUUCGUCACAGGUGGUGAACACUUCUAUAGUAUUGUAAUUUCACGCGCACUUUGUUCCAAUGGUUGUCAAGAAUAUAAUUAGAUGAAUAAUUCUUGGCGUAAUGUACACCAAGCAUGGCCCUAAUUAGAUUACGCAAUUUCGAAGGAGUAUUUUUUUUUCUUCUUCUGGCAUGGAAUAGACGUUAAUUAUUUUUUUUAUUUUUUUUUUGGUUGGUGGGGGGGGGGGGGGGGGGUCUUUUGGGGGGGGGGGGGGGGGGGGGGGGCAAUUCUGAAUUAUUUCUGAAUAUUUUUGCUGAGGAAUUAAAUGUUGAAGAGAUUUAUUUAGGGGUCUUUAUUAUUUGUGAAUUUAUUUUUUUUUUAAAUUGGUUUUAUGUGUAAGUGGAAUGAAUGUACUAGAAGUCUAGAACUGCUAGGACUAGUGUUUGUUUAUCGUUAUUUAAAUUUUUACUUGAAUCUUUCUUACAAUAUUAUUGUUUAUGGUAUUGGCCGUUUUCUAACUUCAUUAAUGUACAUUUAAUGUGGGGUUCCAACUAGACAUGAUAUAGUUGAGGAUUUAAUGUACCAAUAAUAUGUCGCUGUAUGUAAUAAUAAAUAUAAUUAUAUUAUGUCUUCAAAUGAACGGGACAGAUCGACUUCUUCUGUUUAUAUUUUUUAACAAUCAUUUGAGAAUUGAGUAAUUUUUUAUUUUUUAUUUUUAAAUUCCACCCUCCCCUCACAAAUGAGACUCGAGAUCACUGACCUAGUAAGACUUCGUCUUACCAUUUGAGCUGGGUAUCGAUCUCAAGUGACAAAUUCAAUUGAGAUGAAGUUUCAAAUAAGAACUAGUAUACUAAUGGUUUAUUAUUUUUUGUUUAGAUUUAGUCCCAAAUUAUAUAUAAAUGAUAAUUUAGUUACAAAUGUAUGUUAUCUACGUAUACGUUGUAAAAUACCAAAAAAUGAAAAAAAAAAAAAGUAUUUUAAAGUUCCAAAUAAACUCUUUAAUUGAAUUUUAUAAGUGAGAUUUUUAGGCAUUUAGUGAUCAAAACCCUAUGUGGAAUUAAAUUUUUAUUUAGAAUUAGAGAGUUUGUAGUAUUAGGAUUUAAUUUAAUUAUCACCUCCAUUAUAAUUUUUUAUGAAAAUUAUAUAGAUUUUUAUUGUUAAAUUAUUGUACCCUUGAUGUGGAAGAAUCUUUUAAUAAUCAGAAAAAAAGGUGAUUGACUAUAAAGAAGAAAAUUCAAAAUUCUCAUCCUAAAUAUUGUGUAACAAGGGAAAUUUAAAAUUUGAUCAAAGAAUUAAUUGCACGUAUAUAUUGAAAGUUCUUCCACAUACAAUGAAAAGCCAAUCAACAACCAAUUACCCGAAAACAACAACAAAAUAAUACGGUCGUUAUUACACAUCCAAAUUUAUUUCUGACUUGCCUAGUAAAUUGGCACACUAUGCAGCACCACGGUUUCGACCGUUAGCCCCGGUCCAAACCCAAACAAAACACCCCAGUCCAGCCCCUCUCCGGUGGUACUCAUCCCCCCUUUGGUGGCGGACCUCCUCAUCUCAUCCAAGAUAAAAAGCACACAAGCGCUUGACAUGUUCCCAUACUCGCUUAACACAUGUCUAGUUGAUCGCAAUUUUUCGGGUUUUAGGGCUAAUGUUGCUUCAACUUGGUCCAAAAUUGCUGGACCGCCAGGAUGAGCAAUCCAAAAAAUUGAAUUCCAAUCAGAAAUACCUGACAACGACAAAAUUUAAAUAAAUAAAUUUCAAUUAAAAUAGUUUAACAUGACACCAGAGCUGUCCAAUUUGGGAGAUCAAAUUUUAUAGGCACGCACUUAUAUUUUGUGGAUGUGAGAUGACUUUUGAUGGAAAAGAUGAAUUUGUGGCAGAUAUAAGCCUUUGUAUGUGAAGAAAUUUUAAACUUUUAAUUUAUAAUAGAUAAAAAUGAUUGUUGAAUAUAUGGAUAAAACUCGUAGAUCAAUUAAAAUGUGUAGGCGAAAAUAAAGUUUGACAGUUUAUGAAUGAAUUAUAUAUUUUGUAAAUAAUAAUAAUAAUAAUAAUAAUAAUAAUAAUAAUAAUAAUAAAUUAUACUUAAUUACUUUUUUUCAUGUCACUUUUUCAUUAAAAAAUUAUUUUUUGAAAGUGAUUCUCAUUAUUUUUGAGAUAUGAAAUUUUUAAAAUGAGUUAAGGUUUAACAAUACCUAAAGGCUGGAAUGCUUCAGUCAGGCUUUUUUCAACGUUCUUCGAUAUCAAUCCCGGAACAUCCUUGAGAAGGUGAAAUGUUAAUCCAACUUCACGUAAAUGGCCAUCAAUGGCACCUUCACUAUCUGGUAAUAUAGUUUGUGCGGC